rnacentral:lncRNA from 1 species
AAAGUUUAAGUAUACCAAUCAACUGAAGCCAAUUAAUAACAAAAUGCUUAUAGCAAAAGAGAAUGUCACGCCCCGAGACCCACCUAUUUGGUCGGAUUCGGGCACGCCAACAGACUGCCGAACGGACAGAGUCUCCCCUGUACGUUCGAGGCGUCGCAAUCAAUACAAUACAAGAGGUUCCAACUAGGAACAGUAUUCAACAAGCAAUUGCAUAAGGAAGUAUCAAAAACAUAAACAACUAAGUUAUUACAAGUAUUCGUCUCACUUGCAAUUUAAUAUUACAUUUUCCUUUACAUAUUCAUCUUCCAAAUACAAUCGAUUAUUACAAUUUCAUUACAAGUUUGUUUCUUUGCCUUCCAAACCCCUAAGUUAGGCUAACUUAGGGUACCGCUAUCUCUGGUCUCAGUGGUAGGGCGCUAUCUACGGAGCUACGCCCUUUCCUCGCGCCGCCGCGCCGCUCGCGUGUGAACCUGUAACCCCCAAAACCACACGGGGUGUGAACUAUAUAAAUAUAGUUCCCAGUGGGUACAACCACCCAAGGGAAAAGUUCGACCCACCAGGUCCAAGGAGGCACUACAACAUGUUAGUCCAACAAUAUACAACAGAUAUAUAUAUUCCAAUAUUGAAAUACAUGUUAUGCCUCACAAUAUGCAAUAUGAAAGUCAUGCAACUAUGCAACUAUGUAGUUCACUAGUAGAUCCAUUGAUACUACUUCAAUCUUGCUAUUCGUAGCUCAUAUCAACUAGCUCUAAGGUUCUACUACCUUAGUUCCACCGCUCAAUCCAAUUAGUAUCUAAGGUCUCUACUGCCUUAGAUCUUGCCAUAUCUCACUAGCCUUUAAGGUUUCCAUUAACCUAAUCAAGCUAACCACCCGACUCGGCCUCGAGUCAAUCAUCCGCGGACUACAGCCCACUGGCUGCAUCUCUACCACAGCCUGGCUGCCAUCACAGCUCACCGCACCUCUUGACUUAGCCAUCUGGCGGCGAACUCAUCGCACCUCACCCAACAAUGGCUCAAGUCAAUUCUGGCGGCAUCAUCCAAUAAGCUAAAUAGGCGAGGAGAACCACACAUACCCAUUUCAAGCUUAUUCUCAUGGCAUUCCGGGCGAGGAGAACCACACAUACCCGUUGAAUCAUUGACGAGCGAGGAGAACCACACAUACCCGCAGUUCUGAUUCUAUUUGCCAUCUCUUUUACCACAAGUCUCCACCGCUUCUUCUGCUACCACAUCAUUAGGGAUUCUGGAAUCCAUUUCCACAUCUCAGGUCAUCUGCACCCUAAACUGUCGAUCUAUCUAGGCUCGACCCAUAAACAUCCUAGUGGCUGCUACCACUCCAGUCAACAACCUAGGUUCGACCACGCUAGGUUUUAUGUCAUCUCUACCUAGAUUUUGACUCUAGGUUCACUCGUUCAACCUAUGUUUACUAACACUAGGUUCGAUGUCAUUCAAAUCCAACCUAUGUUUAAUAACACUAUGGUCAAUGCCACUCGAUCUAGUAUAUAGAUGUCCACAUGCACAUUUCAAUUAACAUAAUCCUCUAUAUGUUAACUUGCAUCCAUGUAGCAUUUCCACAACAUGCUCAUCAUGCGUUCAUCUAGCAUUUUCCUCAAUGUAUCGACAUACAUAUCUCAAUGGUAGGUACUAAACAUCAAGCAUAAUAAGAUUCAUGCAUCUAUAUUAUCUCAUGCAACCUACCACUACACAUGUAUGCAUCAAUAGUAAACAUUACUCUUAGACAUAGAGGCGAUCUAGUCGCUUCGAUGAGCACAACCCACCUAUUAUUGCGUUCUGAUUGUUCGUAGUUACUUACAAUCGGCCUCCCGCGGCACCCGUAUCCGGUUCAGCCCGAUCUUGCAAUUGCACACCAACUGUGCACCAAAUCGCGCCCCGAAAAUUAUAGGUCUACAGCUAGCCGCCACGGUGCUCGGGAUCCGCUCUCGUGAUUUUUGGACGUUGCCUCGGCCCUCCAGGCGGAAACGAAGCCUAAACGUCUGUUUCUUUAAUAACUUCGCGUAGGCUCGACGAAUCGCCGAACCAACUUCGCCAACGCAUUCGUAUACCUAGCAAUUAGAUUUCUAUAGGGUUAAUUUAGAUCAAACCCUAACAUAUAGCAAAACCACAUUUUGGAGCCCUAGAUGCCACAAUUGCAAAAUCCAUCAUUUAGUCUCUAGAUUCAUGCAUUAUCCAACUAUUUAGCAUCUUAGGAGUCAUCUAAAAUCAAUUCUAGAGUUUAUAAAUCAAACCCUAGCUACUUGCUAUUAAAGAGCAUCAAGCUUACCUCUAGAAGCUUGCUCUUGGGCGAAGGAAGAAGAUGAAGAGGAAGAAAAUCCACCUUCUUGACUCCUUCUCCACCAUCUUCUUCUCCUUGCUCCACUUUUAGAGAGAGAAGAGAAAUCUAGAGAGAAGGAGGAGCUCCUCUCUCUAGCUCAUGUGUGUGUGUGUGCGCGUUUGGGUUGAGAAAGGAAGAAGAAGGGUUAAAGCCCUUCUUCUAGAAGCAACCCCACCACUUUACAAGAUUGCCCCUGCUCAAACUGGGCAUUUUCGGGUCUCAGGGACCGGUCCUUGGCUAGAGAGACCGGACCCCGUAGGUUCAGAAUUUCAGCAUUUUCCAGACUUAUCCAAAUUUCAGCCUUUUUGCCGUUUCUUCUCCGUUUUCGCUCGUUUUUGCUCCGUGAGUCUCCGAUUCGUCUCAAAUCGCACCGAGACUCCCAAUACAUGUUUUCGAGCGUGUUUUCAUCAUCUUUUCAUCCACGCUAAUGCCGGAUUUAGUCCAUGGUCCAACAUAGCAUUUCGAGUUUCGUUUUCGCGCACGACGCGCACCGAAAGCACCCGAAUGCACCCGAACUUCACCGGAACCAUUCCAAUGGCUCUCCAAACCAAUAUACACCGUAACUUCAUAAUUUUUGAAGUUCGGUACCUUACAGAGUAAAUAUGCCAAUCUAUUAAGCCGAAUAGGAACAAAAAAUUUAUUUAUACUAUUUGGGAAGAGAAGAAAGUUUAGAUAAAAAAAUCCAAUAAAAAAUAAUAUUCCACAAAUCAAAACAAUCAAAGGCUUAAAUUUUCUUAUAUAAGCUAUGUAUUUAUUCCUCAAAAAAAUAAAGAUAUUUUUAUAUCAUUAUAUAAAUAAAUCUAAUUUUGUCAACAUCCUUACGUCAAAUAACAAAAAUAGUCAUAAAAGAAGAAAAAAAAUAAGCAUAUGAAAAGUUAAACAAUAUUUUUUUAAAAGAGACAGUAAAUAUAAUACAAAAUUUUACUAACCAAUAUGGUAAAAAAUAAAAAGAAGUACAUAAACAAACGAUACCAUUGCUGUUGCUUCUCCUCUUUCGCCGGAGUACUCGUCCACCCUGUAGCACACUAAAUGUAAGGAAGUGAAUUCUCGAAACUCGAGGAUUAGACUUCGACCAGAAUCGACUAUUCGUCGAGUGAGUAGGCUUCGGAAGGUCCGAAGGUGUUUAUAAUGCAUAAAGUGCAUUAAGGAGAGGUCCGCGAGAGCACCAGUGCAAAACUUGCACUGGAGCAGAAAUGCUCUCGGGGACCGGUCCCUAGCAGGGAGGGACCGGUCCCAUCAGGCUGGGUUGUGGAGGUCUCUGAUGAGACCGGUCCUUGGUGGGCAGGGACCGGUUCCCGAACGUUGGCCCGGCGAGACUUAGCCAAAUUUGGCUAAGUCCCGAGAAUGCAGCUCUCGGGAACCGGUCUCUCGGACAAGGACCGGUCUCCCGGGGACCGGUCUCUCAGGUAAGGACCGGUUCCCGAACGCGAAAUCCCCUCUGCUCGAAGUGGCAGCCUUCGGGGACCGGUCUCCCCGAGCUGGGACCGGUCCCUCACUGCGAAAAUGCCCAGAGAGGGCUGAUUCUAAAGAUGAAAAGUUGAGGGGGCUAUUUGCAAAAUGGCCUUUAAUAGGGCUUGGGGACCCCUCUCUUUCCCUCAGUUGCUCUCUUCCCCUCUCUCUCUCACUAUUCUCUCUCUCUAGGAAAGAAAAGAAAAGAAAGAGAAGAAGGAGAAGAAGGGAAAAAAGAAGAAGAAAGAGAAGGAGAAGACUAAGAAGAAGAGGAAAGUCAUCUUCUCUCCCUCUCCCUCAAGCUUGGAGCUUAGGUUAGAGGUAAGCUUCCAACCCUUUAAUGGAAAUUCUAGGGUUUUGGGUUUUUAUGGUUUAGAAUUGGUUCAAAUGGAACCUAUUGGGAAUGAAUAGAUGGUUCGAGCUCAAAAUCGAAGCUCGCACCGUGGAUUUCCCUCUCGUCGCCAUUCUAGGGCACGGAUUGGGAUUUUGGGAAAUAUAGGGUUUUGAUCGAUCUUAAUAGGUCGUAAACCAAAUUGCUAGGUCUCGAAACGCGUCGGCGAAGACGGUUUGCCGAUCCGACGAGCGGGUGCGGAGUUAUCGCCGAAUCGGGUACUCGAGGGCUCGCUUUGCCCCGAGGAGUUUAAGCGGCGUGCAAGAACCGCAACGUCGAGCUUUCUACUAUCGCAGCAUCGCCAAGAGGUGGGUGGUGUCCAUCCCGAAGCAAUCGGGCUCCCUCCUAUGUCUUAGUACAUUUUGACCCCGCAUCUUGUAUUAUUGCAUUAUAGGAUUAUUAUGCAUCGCCUUUCCUUAUGCCUUCCUUGAUGAUAUUGUAGCAUGUACUGGAUACUGAAUAUAGAGGAUUGGUGAGGAUUGGGUCGAGUCUUGUGAAUCCUAUAUUGUAGAGAAAAUAAUGAACAAAGAACGAGUGGCAUCUAGUCGAUAGUAAACAAUGGACGAGUGGCAUUUAGUUGAUAGUAAGCAAAAGAACAAAUGACACAUAUGUGAGUCAUAGUGUAUAUGAAACCUAUGAACUAUAUGAUGAUUGUGACCCUAGAGGACAGGGUAUCCUCAAGCUUAGAGGAUGGGAUCAUGCUCACGGUCUGUUUAAAUCUUGUGAUGGAAGCCCCACACAAGUAGUGCGCUCCGGAUGUUGGUCACGCCAGGGAUUGCCUAUUUGGCCCCGCCAGACGGUCUCGGGUCCGUAGUGUGAGUUAAUUCUCCCUACGUGUCGAGAUGGCUAGUGAGCUGUAGGCGAGCCUCCGGGUAAGCCACGAGAUUGAUGGACAAGUAAAUGAGGUAACAAUCGAGUGAAUAGCUUUAUCUUUGGACAUGAUAACCGGGUAGCUGCUUACCUAUUUCAUUGUACAUGCAUCAUAUAUUAUGAUUGGGCAUAGUAGAGUAGCUUUACUUCUGUCAUCUACCGCUUUCCUUAUCUAUUUAUCUAUCUAUUGGUAUAUCUACUUGUGCCCGCUUGGACCUAGUGGGGAGAUCGGCGGAGUCGGCGGCCGAACCCACUGGGAACUAAGGAAGUUAGUUCUCACCCCCAUUUUACUACAGGUUCCAGUUCGGGUGUCCCCGGUGAGCGUGAGGAUCGCGGUAAGGGCCCGGCGCUUUAGUAGCAUUAGCUACCUCCCUUUUUGCACUAGCCGUCACCCUUUUAUAUUGAGAGUAGAUGAUGUAUAGGGUGAGGUUCGAGUGAUUGUAUUUAUAUUUUGGAUGAAUGUAAAAGAUGUAAUUGAAUGUAUUAAGUCAAAUGGAUGUAAUAGAUAGCUCUUCUCUCUUUGUGUACUUGUAUAUGUUUCUAUACUUGUAUCUUGCUCUCGUUUGUCGCACUGGUGGUGCUUCUUGAUCGUGUAUUUAUGAAUUGAAUUCCUGGGUAAAUUCUCAUACAUGAUCUGUUGGUUGCCUUGGGCGGACAGGGGAGGUCCUGUCCGUUCGGCGUCUGUUUGACGCGCCCGGGCCGGACCAAAUUGGAGCGGUCACGGGGCGUGACACUAAACUUCAACAAAUUGCGGGGUUUUAGUGAGAAAACCAACACCUGGUGUUGUUAGAAAGACUUUGGUAAUGCAGAAGAUGUAUAGUGCGUUUCGGAUGAGUUAGCGCGAAAAUGAAAAUUUUGAAUUAAUCUAUACCUAAGCUUUUAUAGCCUCGGGGUCCGGACCUUGAUACUCUCUUUAUUGUACCAAAGAUCAAAGUCCAGACCUUGAAAGAGGAUCCGGGCCUUACGUGCGAAUUUCAGUUUGCAAGCUAUAAGGUCCGGACCUUGAGGGGAGGAUCCGGAUUCUGACUGCGCAGAACACAUAUUUGGAUAUACGGGAUUCGGACCUUACUAGAGAGUUCGGACCCUGCAUAGUUUGGGACUGUUUCAUGGGAAGUAUGAUUUCUCUCAUUUUGAGGAACCUAAAUGGAUUUGUCACUUAGUAGUAUAACCCACUUCACUUCCCCCUUCUCCUCUUAUUUGACAGUGCAAGAGAAGAGAGAGAAGUGAGUUCCCUUCCUCUUUUCCUUGGGUUUUUUUUCUCCAAACCUUUCCUAAUCCUUGGAUUUCUCCUUAUUUUCCUCUUUUCCUUGAGAUUGGAGCUUUAUUUAAGAUUGGUAACCUUCCUUCAUCCUCUAUUUGAGAGAUUUGUAAGGGUUUUGCGUAGAAAACCUAGUUUGUAGAAACUAGAGUUUAUUUUGGAAAUUUUCAAUUGUAAGCUUUUUGGGCUGAAAUUGAUAAAUGUAGAACACUUAUGAGGACUGAAAAGUUGACUAUGUAGCUAAACUCUUUGUUGAUGAUAUUUUUGUGUGUAAUUUAAUUACAUAAGCACUCGUCAAGUUUCAAGAGAAAACGAGUUAGGAUGAAGAAGUUGCGCGACCUUUACUAAUCACUUAAAGUGAAUAGUAACUCGGGUUUUUUCGGAGAGGCCAAUGAGUGGAGAUGGCUUCUGGUGCGUAUUCCACUUCGUGUAUAGUGAUCAACGGUUCGACUGUCCUAGACCCAAUAGCACUAACGGAUUUGGGUUUUGAUGCACGGUUUUCGAGAAAAGAGGUUGUAUCGCAAAAAGGGUUUUUGUUCUUUGCUGUUCUUGUGUUGUAAAACUUCUCGUGCUCCGUGCGUGUGUCUUGGAGUAGAGUGGAGAAUGUUUCAGGUACCUACCAGUGGUAGGGAAUUCAAAUUCGAGUUUGAAUUUGAGGUUUAUUGGUUUUACACUUAUAUAUAGGUGUGGUUUUCGGGAAAAUUGGAUAGGGGAUGGAUUUCGUCGCAAAUCGGCGACUAUAUCGAGUGAAACAAAAUUGUGAGUUCGAUGUCCCGGUCGUGCUGAACGCGUUGGCGCAGUCCGUUUGCAAAUCUGACAGACGGAUCUCCCGAAAAUUCAAAAUGUUCGCAAAGGGGUCGAAAUUGGCAAAACGAAAAAUUCACGAAAAGCCCCAUAUUUUAUGUACCGUUUUGCGUGAUUUCGAACGUUUAGAUGCGUACACGAGAAAUACACUCACUGUGAGGGACUUGGCUGAAAAUAUUCAUCUCUGGAGGACCAUGUUGCAAAAUGGCCAACUUAUAUGUAGGGAAAUUAGGGUUUCAUGCAUGAAACCCUAACCCUAGUAGCUCCGGCCACUAGAAAAGGGCUACAUUGCCUCCCUCUCCACCAAACCUCCACCAUCUCUGCUGUGGACCACUGGAAAGGACCCACACACCUCGAGCUCCCUCCCCCAGCCGUGGCCCCAUCCUCCGGCGACUCCCCCAGCCGAUCCCUGCCAUCCCCGCGCGCCGCCGUCGCCGUCUGGACACUUUGCGGCCGAGCUGGGUCAGCUUGGGCCGAGCCCAAGCCAUCCCUUAGCCCGCGCACUACCGCCACCUAGAACCAGCCGCGCCGCCCUCCCCCGACCUCCGGCGACUCCCUGUGCGCCGUCGCCCCAGUCCUUGCGGGCCGUCGCCGCCGCCCCGAAUUAGCUCGGGCCGAGGCUAGGUCUGCGUCGUCUCCUCGCAUCGCCGCCGCCUAGUAUCGGCCGCGCCGUCUCCGAUCGGCCUCCGUUGAACCACCACUGUCGCCCCGUAGCUCCCCGGCCACCGCUGUGGCCGCUGCGAACAGCUGAGCUUGAGCCGAGCUCAUGCGGGCUAGGGAUGCUCCAGCGCCGCCACCGCCACCUUCCAUCACCAGCCAGCGUGAGCGCCGGCUCUCCCUGGUCGGCCGCACUCGUCCGCCGCCGGAGCUCCCAGUCGGCCGGACUAGGCCCGUGCUCUCCACAGGUUCGUGUGGCUAGGGCAUCAAUGCCUGUCGUCGCCGGCCGACGUGCGCCCUAGCCUCCCUCCGUCUCCCGCAUCUGCCUUCCAUCGGUGCGCCCACCACCGAACCGCCGCCCUAGGCCCUCUCUACCAGGUAAGCUUAAAUGAAGCUAUUUUUGGGAGUUUUAGGGUUGUUCCCACUGUUCUGGCGACCCGGGGCUGUUCCGAUGCCUCCGGAGGUGAGCACGGUGAUCGUUGGUUAGUGAUGAUCAUAGUGCUCACCUCAUUUGGGGUCAACGAGCCCCGGAUGAGUGAAUUGGAAGCGUUUUGGUUUCAGUGCGCAGGGUUCGCUGAACUGUGAGUCACUCCCGCGCCUCCCAAAGUGGACAGUUGUGCUCCGAAUCAUGAGCACGGCCUCCGGCACGUCGAGACCUAUCAGCGUGUGUCUUGGCCAGCCUCGAAAAUUCUCGGUUUGUGCUAUUGAGCCGUAAAACCCUGAAAAUCACAUAAAAUAACGUGAUUUUAUAUGAUUGUAGGGACCUUUAUGCAAUUGUCCACUUCGUGGCUAAUGUGGGCAGUGUGUGCGGGUAGCGGGUGAUCUCUAGACUGAUUGUCCAAGGCCCGAGGCCUUUGCAAAAAUCGAAUAUCGAUUUCCGGUGCGUUUUUCGGCAAAAUCUACCGACGGAACGCGGUUUCGGUUCGGAUUUCUUCCGACAGUGCCUCACUGUAAUACUUUGUCGCUGAGCCUUAUUGGCUGGUCACUUACGUCGUUCCAAGGGUUCGGAGACGACGAGUGAGCGACGGUGGGUUCCAGUGUCGAAAUUGACAUUUUCGGAAACCCAGAUCGGAACGGUUAUCCGACGAUAAUCGUUCGAUGUGAGCCUUGUAUUUACUGCCAGGACACUUUAUUAUGGUGUUGUGUGGCAGCGGGUGACUCGUGGCGUGAGUCGGUGAGUUCCGGGACACUUCGUGGGUGUCACAUCCCGCUAUCGCCAAUUUGGUCGAUCCGGGCCCGUACACAGAUGCCGAACGGACAACACCUCCCCUGUCCGCCCAAGGCUCAACAAUAACGAGUACAUGUAUAAAGAAAUAAACAGUUCUCAGGAUAAUAUUUCAAUAUACAUGGCUUGCGCGAGGGCAAGCAAUAGGCACAAGUGAUAGUAAACUAACUAAACAUGCAUUCACUAUAUUUUGAACAACUUUAAAACCAAAACCAAUAACUAUAACUUCAGUUAUUUACACCAUUUACAUGCUCAUUUAUACAUCAUUUACAAGUUUUUUUAACAUGAAAUAUAUACAACAUGAAACCAAAAUGGAUAUAUGUCUAUACUCUGGUGUCUGCUAGCUAAGAUGCCGGGCCCUUGCCGCGAUCCUCGGCCACACCGCUCGCACUAGGACCUGUAUGGUUAGUGGUGUGAGAACUACUAAAAGUUCUCAGUAGGUUCGGUCGCCGACCUCGCCGACUCACUCACCAGGUCUAUUCAAGCAUAUGUAGGCAAGAAAAGUAAAUAGAUAGUAACCAGCUAUAACAUGUAACUAUACAAUGCCUGUACAAAGCUGAAAGAAACUGUAGAUAACAUAUGAAAUUUAUGCAUGCAUGCUAUGAAUAAUCAAUACCUAAUCCAUCUGUUAACCAUUUGGUUAACUAUAACUCACCAACGCAAUCCCUAAGUAUCGGGCCCUAAGCUGCCUCCCGACGGGAUCGUCUACUGGGAAGGCUUAUACGAUCAACCCAGUUAAUGACACACUCCGGAGUGCAUUUCUUGGGGGGAGCGACCACCACCAAGCCAAAACAGAAUAGGUGAGUAUGAUCCAAUCCUCACUUAGAGGAUUCAAUAACUGACGAUGCCACAAUUUAAUUUCUAACUAGCUCUUUAUGCUAGUUUUACAGUUGUAAUAUAGAUGCUAACCAAUGCUUCUAGUCAUAAUGUCACCAAGUUUACUAUAGUCAUAGUCCAUUACUAAUUCAUACAUUCAUAGGGUUCUAUGUCCAUAUUCUAGAAGAAAGAAUCUGGAAAUGAAAAAAUCAAAGAAAAAAUUAGAAAAAGAAAAAAUCAAGAAAAGAAAGAAAAAAUCAGAAAAAGAAAAAGAAUUAGGGUUUAGGGUUUAGGCACCGAUGCGUUUGUUGACCUACCAAUUAGGUUAUAACGAGAUCAAUCCCAAGAUUGAACCUCAAAAUCCAACAACCCUAAAGUUAGGUCCUUGUACAACACCAUCUUUCCCAAUUAAGUCCCUAACAUGGAUAAUCAUGGGGGAAAGUACCAUAGAAGCUCCUAGAUGCAACAACUAGAAGCAAAAACCCAAAACCUAAUUUAAAAUCACAAGAACUCACCGUAGGAGUCCAAAGCUUUCCUUCCAAGUCUUGAUCUAGCAUACUCUACACCUUGGAGAGCUUUUCUCCAAGCUUUUCUCCUCCAAAAGCCCUCUUGGUCCAAGCCCUAGAGAGAGAGGGGGAGAGAUAGGAGAGGUUUUUAGAGAGAGAGAGGGGAAAGGUUUGAGUGUGAGAGUGAGAGCAAAUGAGCUCUGACUCAUGCCCUAGCUCAAAUAACCGUUCACAUGUCACAUUUGCACACAAGCACCUCACUUUUUUAUUUUUGCAAGCAGCCCUUACUGGGCAAUUUCGGGUUCAGGGACCGGUCUCUCCCUUCAGGGAUCGGUUCCCGAGAGCUAUCCUGCAAUCUGCGCAGAAGGGGACCGGUCUCCCCCCGACGCUACCGGUCUCUCGGGACCGGUCUCCCGCCGAAGGACCGGUUCCCGAGAGCUCAAUUUCCAGGACUUAGCCGAUUUUUCACCUCGUUCGGCUGAUCAACGUUCGGGAACCGGUCUCUCACCCAAGGGACCGGUCCCCGAGAGUAAAAUUUCUGGAACUUCUCCAAAAUCGCAGUUUCACUCUCUCGGGUCCCUUUAUACUCUAUAUAUAGGCUCCAAUGCACUUCUAGCCUAUAGUAAUUUAUUCCUUUCCGUGUUUCGCGCAUUUCGACGGAACUCGGCACGACUUACGGGGAAGUAAUACGUUACACUCUAAGUCUUCAAACUUCAAAGAUCCUCCCUCAACCAAGCUCCAUCCAAGCUUCAAGCUCCAUCUAAGCUUCAAGCUUCAACCAAGGUGGAAAAGCCUCCAACAAGCAAAAAAGAGGCUUAAUCUCCUAAAAAUCCAACCAAAAAUCAAGGAAAGAGAUGGGGAGGUGUGGAGGGCUUCCUCACCUUUCUCCUUGCUGGUGCCAAGCUCAGGGGAGGCUCCUAGGGCGUGGGGAUACAAAUAGAGUUGCUACAAUAGCAAUUACACUCCUGCAGAACCGUCUGUUCAGAAUCUGUCACUGCGUACUGGUACACGGGCCCACGUACUAGUACACCUCCCACGAAAAGGCCAAACCCGAGCCUCGGGUUUGCCUCAAAACUGCCUGUGUACCAGUACACGGCCCCGCGUACCGGUACAACCAUCAACCCUGUACUGGUACAGCCAUCAACCCUGUACCGGUACACUGCCCGCUGAAGGCUACCCGAGAGCUGACCAAAAAUCCGACUUUUCUGGUUUUAGUGCUAAGCUUUAAACCUCACUUCUCGGGAUUCGAACAAUAGGUCGGAACACUGUCUACGACCCACCAGAAAGUCUGGAAAAACUCAGAACACAUCCAAUCACUCGAACCUCGCAAUUCGCAAAGGUCUAGUGUGUUACGUUCACCCCUCCUAAAAAGGAGUUUCGUCCGCGAAACUCAAAAGUAAAGUACCUCAAGCCUCCAUCUGAAAAGGAUGGGGAUAGCGCUCCCGCAGUGCGCUCUCCAACUCCCAAAUGGCCUCGCGCUCAUCGUGGUUGCUCCAAAGCACCUUCACGUAGGGAACUCACGGUUCCGCAAUCUCUUCACCUCGCGAAUCAAAAUUCUCAAAGGUUGCUCCUCAAAGCUCAAAUCAUCCCUCAGCUCCAAAGGUGUGGCGUCCAACACGUGAGCCGGAUUAUGGAUGUACUUUCGAAUGACCGAUACAUGAAAGACAUUGUGUACACCCGAUAGGUUCGGCGGUAGAGCGAGUCGAUACGCUACCGGGCCUACACGCUCCAAAACCUCAUACGGUCCAAUGUAUCGGGGGCUCAGCUUACCCCGAAUUCCAAAUCUUCUAAUCCCUCUGGUCGGCGAGACUUUCAGGAAGACAUGAUCACUAAUCUGAAACUUCAAGUCUCGUCGACGCCUGUCAGUAUAACUCUUUUGCCUACUCUGUGCUGUCAACAGUCGCUCCCUAGCAAUGCGAACCUUGUCCUCAGCUUCCUGGAGCACAUCUGGGCCUAAAGCCAAUCUUUCGCCAACUUCACUCUAAUGAAGUGGCGAUCUACACUUCCGUCCAUAGAGUGCCUCGAAAGGUGCCAUCUUGAUGCUUGCUUGAUAACUGUUAUUAUAAGCAAACUCUGCCAUCGGUAGAUGCUGCGACCAUCCUCCCUGGAAGUCAAUCACACAGGCUCGAAGCAUGUCCUCGAGAGUCUGUAUAGUACGCUCUGACUGCCCGUCACUCUGGGGGUGAAAAGCUGUACUGAAGUCCAAGCGCGUACCCAAAGCAUCCUGUAAGCUCUGCCAAAAGUGAGAUACAAACCGGGGGUCUCGAUCUAAUACAAUAUAAGUAGGUACCCCGUGUAAUCGCACAAUCUCAUCUAUACCUAUGCGAGUCUCACACCAGUCCAAGUAGUGUGGAUAGGUACGAAAUGUGCCGAUUUCGUCAAUCUAUCCACGAUUACCCAAAUAGCAUUAUGCCGAUCCUGAAAGUGGGGCAAACCCAUCACAAAGUCCAUGGUGAUCUUCUCCUAUUUCCACACCGGAAUCAAUAAGCUCUGCAAUUUUUCCGCAGGAACUCGGUGCUCAGCUUUCACCUGUUGGCAAGUUAAACAUCUAGCAACAAAUUCACCAACAUCCUUUUUCAUCCCGAACCACCAAUAAAGCAACUUUAAGUCCUUGCACAUCUUGGUGCCUCCCGGAUGUAUAGCAUAUGGUGCUCGGUGUGCCUUUUGAAGAAUUUCUUCUUUAAGUGUCGAUUCCGCCGGUACACAGAUCCGUCCACGGAAGCGCAUCAGUCCAACACCGUCCACAGAAAAGUCAUCGGUGCAACCAUCAAUCAUCUUAGCUCGAAUCCUUUGCAACUCCACAUUGGAGACUUGCUUUUCUUUAAUUCUUUCCACAAGUGUAGAUUGCACCACCAAAGUCAUCAGUCUCUAAGGUGUAUCUGGAGCCACCACCUCCAACUCCAACCGCUUCAUCUGCUCGAUCAACGGCGGUUGAGUAACCACAAGCAUCGCUAAGUUUUUCGUCGAUUUCCUACUUAGCGCAUCCGCCACCACGUUAGCCUUGCCCAGGUGGUAAAGUAUCGUUAAAUCGUAAUUCUUGAGUAGCUCCAACCAUCUGCGCUGCCUCAAGUUCAACUCCUUCUGAGUGAAUAAAUACUUUAAACUCUGGUGAUCCGUAUAUACUUCGCAUCGCUCGCCGUACAAGUAAUGGCGCCAUAACAUCAAUGCAAAGACCACGGCCGCCAAUUCCAAAUCAUGAGUAGGGUAGUUUCUUUCAUAAUCCUUCAACUGGCGAGAUGCGUACGCGAUCACUUUUCCGUCCUGCAUCAAGACACAGUCAAUCCAUUAAAGGAAGCAUCACUAUAAAUCACAUACCCUCCUCCAGCAAUUGGCAAGGUUAGGAUCGGGGCUGUCGUCAAUCUCUGCUUCAACUCUUGGAAGCUCCUUUCGCACGCAUUAUUUCAAACAAACUUGGUGCCUUUAUGCGUGAGCCUCGUGAGGUGUCACGCCCCGAUCCCACCUCUUUGGUCGGAUUCGGGCACGCUAACAGACCGCCGAACGGACAGGGUUUUCCCUGUACCGCGGACAGAGUCUCCCCUGUACGUUCAAGGCGUCGCAAUCAAUACAAUGUACGAAGUUCCAACCAGGAACACAUUUCAACCAAAGAUUGCAUAAGGAAGUAUCAAAAACAUAAAUCUACCUGCUAUUACAAGCAUUCACAUUCAUACAUUUUUACAUCACAAUUCUCAUUUGAUUCUUACAUUAGCUUUCACUUAACUUCCAAAUACAAUCCGAUUUUAACAUAGUUAUUACAACAUUGUUCUUACAAUUAUCACACUCUUGGUUCUUUGCAUUUUAUACCCUAAGAAGCCGACUCAGGGUGCUGCUAUCUGGUCUCAGUGGUAGGGCGCUAACUACGGAGCUACGCCCUUUCCUCGCGCCGCCGCGCCGCUCGCGNNNNNNNNNNNNNNNNNNNNNNNNNNNNNNNNNNNNNNNNNNNNNNNNNNNNNNNNNNNNNNNNNNNNNNNNNNNNNNNNNNNNNNNNNNNNNNNNNNNNNNNNNNNNNNNNNNNNNNNNNNNNNNNNNNNNNNNNNNNNNNNNNNNNNNNNNNNNNNNNNNNNNNNNNNNNNNNNNNNNNNNNNNNNNNNNNNNNNNNNNNNNNNNNNNNNNNNNNNNNNNNNNNNNNNNNNNNNNNNNNNNNNNNNNNNNNNNNNNNNNNNNNNNNNNNNNNNNNNNNNNNNNNNNNNNNNNNNNNNNNNNNNNNNNNNNNNNNNNNNNNNNNNNNNNNNNNNNNNNNNNNNNNNNNNNNNNNNNNNNNNNNNNNNNNNNNNNNNNNNNNNNNNNNNNNNNNNNNNNNNNNNNNNNNNNNNNNNNNNNNNNNNNNNNNNNNNNNNNNNNNNNNNNNNNNNNNNNNNNNNNNNNNNNNNNNNNNNNNNNNNNNNNNNNNNNNNNNNNNNNNNNNNNNNNNNNNNNNNNNNNNNNNNNNNNNNNNNNNNNNNNNNNNNNNNNNNNNNNNNNNNNNNNNNNNNNNNNNNNNNNNNNNNNNNNNNNNNNNNNNNNNNNNNNNNNNNNNNNNNNNNNNNNNNNNNNNNNNNNNNNNNNNNNNNNNNNNNNNNNNNNNNNNNNNNNNNNNNNNNNNNNNNNNNNNNNNNNNNNNNNNNNNNNNNNNNNNNNNNNNNNNNNNNNNNNNNNNNNNNNNNNNNNNNNNNNNNNNNNNNNNNNNNNNNNNNNNNNNNNNNNNNNNNNNNNNNNNNNNNNNNNNNNNNNNNNNNNNNNNNNNNNNNNNNNNNNNNNNNNNNNNNNNNNNNNNNNNNNNNNNNNNNNNNNNNNNNNNNNNNNNNNNNNNNNNNNNNNNNNNNNNNNNNNNNNNNNNNNNNNNNNNNNNNNNNNNNNNNNNNNNNNNNNNNNNNNNNNNNNNNNNNNNNNNNNNNCAUGCAUUUCUAAAACAUGCAUCUAGCUCAUGUUACUUGAAAUUUAACUCAUACAUUUAUCUAGCAUAUGUCUUACAUACUCCUUUAGCGUUUAGCUCUUACAUUCAUUAGCAUACUUUACAUAUAUUUACUUAGCAUCUAGCUCAUGUCGUUAUAUGCAUUUAUUAGCAUCAUUAUGGUACAUUCUUAAUUAGCAUUCUUAUUAUGCAUUCUUACUUAAGAUUCUUAUCAUGCAUCAAUAGUGAAACACACUACACUUUGGCAUGAAGGCGACCUAGUCACUUCGGUAAGCACAACCCACCUCUUAACGCGUUCCGAUUGCUUGUCGUCACUUGCAAUCGGCCUCCCGCGGCACCCGUGACCCGGUUUGGCUCGAACUCUCGCGUGACCACCCGAACGGCCACCAAUCCACGAUCCGUCUGUUCGGGAGUUUAUUCCCUGACACCACGAUGCUCCCGAUCCAUUUUCAUGAUUUUUGGAGGCUUAUUCCGCGUGCUGCGGCUAUCUGUACCAAAACAGACUGUUUCGUCAAUAACUUCGCGUACACUCGUCGGAUUGUCGAACCGAGCGCACUAAUGCGUUCGUUAUACCCCCAAUUAGGUUUAUAGAGGGUCAAUUGAGAUCAAACUUAACUAUUUACAAAAACCCCCUUUUGGAGCCCUAGGUUUGCAUUAUAGCAAAAUCCACCAUUAGAGCUUUGCAUUCAAGCUUUACUCAUCUAUUUAGCAUGCUAGGUUUCCAUUAAAAUCAUCUUUAGAGUAUAAGAACUUAACCCUAAAGAUCUACCAUUAGAGCUCCAAGAAGCUUACCUCAAGAAGCUUGCUCCAUUGCAAUGGGGAAGAAGAUGAGGAUGACUCUCUCCUCCUUGUCUUCUUCUCCUUCUUUUUCUUCUCUUCUCCUUCUUCUUCUCUUUUCCUUCCUCUUUUACUUUCUAGAGAGAGAGAGGGAGAGUUUUGGUGUGGGAGAGUGAGAGAAAUGAGGGAAAGAGAGAAAGGAUCCUCUCUAUACUCUCUCAUAAGUGCCAUUUUGCACUUAAGCCCCUCCACAAUGCUUCCCUCGCNGCUCAUGUCGUUAUAUGCAUUUAUUAGCAUCAUUAUGGUACAUUCUUAAUUAGCAUUCUUAUUAUGCAUUCUUACUUAAGAUUCUUAUCAUGCAUCAAUAGUGAAACACACUACACUUUGGCAUGAAGGCGACCUAGUCACUUCGGUAAGCACAACCCACCUCUUAACGCGUUCCGAUUGCUUGUCGUCACUUGCAAUCGGCCUCCCGCGGCACCCGUGACCCGGUUUGGCUCGAACUCUCGCGUGACCACCCGAACGGCCACCAAUCCACGAUCCGUCUGUUCGGGAGUUUAUUCCCUGACACCACGAUGCUCCCGAUCCAUUUUCAUGAUUUUUGGAGGCUUAUCCCGCGUGCUGCGGCUAUCUGUACCAAAACAGACUGUUUCGUCAAUAACUUCGCGUACACUCGUCGGAUUGUCGAACCGAGCGCACCAAUGCGUUCGUUAUACCCCCAAUUAGGUUUAUAUAGGGUCAAUUGAGAUCAAACUCAACUAUUUACAAAAACCCCUUUUUGGAGCCCUAGAUGCUACUCUAGCAAAAUCCUCCAUUUCGUCUCAUGAAUCAAGCAUGGUUCAUCUAUUUAGCAUGCUAGGAUUCCAUUAAAAUCAUCUUUAGAGUAUAAGAACUUAACCCUAAAGAUCUACCAUUAAAGCUUCAAGAAGCUUACCUCUCUAGGUUUGCUCCAAGGUGAAGAAGAAGAUGAUGGAGGGAAGCUCUCCACUUGCUUCACCUUCUUUUUCCCUUUCUUCUUCUUCUUCUUCUCUUCUCCUUUCCUUUCUAGAGAGAGAGAGAGGAGGCUUUGGUGUGAUACGGUGAGGGAGAGGGAGAGAGAGAGGUUCUAAUCCUCUCUUUACUCAUAACCCAUGCACAAAAUGCCAAUAAGUCCCUCAACAAUGCUUCUCUCGCAACAGCCCGAACUGGGCAUUUUCGGGGUUCGGGGACCGGUCCUUGCGAUGAGAGACCGGUCCCUGAGAGACCGGUCCUUGACUGAGAGACCGGUCCCCGAAGGUCCAGAAAUCAGCAUUCAAGGACUUAGCCAAAUUUUCAGCUUUUUCACCAUUUUCGCUCCGUUUUCACUCGUUUUCGCUCGUUUGACAUCCGAUUCAUUUCAAAUCGAACCGAGACUCUCCAAACAUGUUUUCAAGCAUGUUUUCAUCAUCUUUUCAUCCACGCUAAUGCCAGAUUUAGUCCAUUGUCCAACAUAGCCUUUCGGGUCCCGUUUUCGCGCCCUAUGCGCACCGAAGCACCCGAAUGCUCCCGAACUUCGCCGGAAUGAUUCCAAUAGCUUUCUAAGCUAACAUACAUCAUAACUUCAUGAAUUAGAAGUUCGGUAUAUUACAUGAGGGGAGUAGACAACUUUGCAAAUCCCUCGACAAACCGUCGGUAGUAGCCGGCCAAACCAAUGAAGCUCCGUAUCUCGGUGACACUUGUCAGCGUCGGCCAAUCCUUGAUGGCUUCAAUUUUUCUCGGGUCCACGGCUAUACCUGAUCCUGAAAUCAAAUGACCCAAAACGCCACCUCUCUAAGCCAAAACUCACACUUCUUCAAUUUGGCAUAGAGCUUCUUUUUCCGAAGCACUUGAAGUACAAGUCUCAAGUGUUCCUCAUGAUCUGCAUCACUUCGAGAAUAGACCAAAAUGUCGUCGAUGAAUACUACGAGAACCUGUCUAGAUAAGGCUUGAAAAUACGGUUCAUUAGAUCCAUAAAAGCUGCCGAGGCAUUAGUAAGCCCAAACGGCAUAACAGUAAACUCAUAAUGCCCAUACCGUGUUCUAAAAGCCGUCUUCGACACAUCCUCAGGCUUGAUCUUCAGCUGGUGAUAUCCCGACUGUAAGUCGAUCUUGGAAUACACACUAGAUCCCUGGAGCUGAUCAAAUAAAUCAUCAAUCCUCGGUAAUGGAUACUUAUUCUUAAUCGUGACUUUAUUGAGUUCACGAUAAUCCACGCACAAGCGAAGCGAUCCAUCCUUCUUCUUGACAAAUAGGACCGGUGCUCCCUAAGGUAACACACUCGGUCGCACAAAAUCCUUGUCCAGAAGAUCUUGCAACUGUGCCUUCAGCUCCUUCAAUUCCGCUAGUGCCAUCCUAUAGGGUGCCUUUGAGAUUGGAGUAGUCCCGGGAACGAGAUCUACCACAAACUCAAUCUCCCUGUCAGGUGGCAUGCCUGGUAACUCCGCUGGAAACAAUCUCCAAACUCCCGCAUGACGGGGAUGUCCUCAAUCCUAGGGGCGUCUGCAUCACCCUGCAACACAACAGUAGCCAAGUAGGCCACGCAGCCUCUGCUGAUCAACUGUCUAGCUCGAGAGGAGCUAAUCAUCAUCGCAAACAGCGAACUCUGGCAUCCUCGGUACACAACCUCCGCUUGCCCCGGCUCUCUAAACGUCACAGUUCGAUUCUUGCAAUCAAUAGUGGCGUAGUACUUGGUCAACCAAUCCAUGCCCAAAACAACAUCAAACUCUCCGAGUUUAUGGAAAGCUAGCAAGUCCACGGGCAUGACCCAAUCUCCAACUCGAACAGGGCAACAGGGGCAAAACUCUCGAAUAUCCAAAGAGUGAUCGGGUACUACAACUCGUCCCGGAUGCAGCAAAAAUGUCAGUGGGAUGCCAUGCAACUCGGCAAACAGCCGGUCUAUGAAUGAAUGCGAUGGACCGGUAUCAAAUAAUUCUCGAACUCGAAUACCAUAAAGUAAAAUGAUACCUACAACCACAUUCUCAGCUGCUGCCGCCUCCUCAGUCUGGGCCGCGUACAUGCGCUCACUCGGGGCCUGUCGUGACCUCUUCGCCUGCCGCUGCACUCGCGGCCGUCCAGCCUGGUGAUGCGCAGAAGGUGUCCCCUGGCUGGGACCCGGUAAAGCUGGUGCAGAUGCCGAAGAUGGCGCUGGUGCUAGGCCCCAUAGGCAGUCCGACUGGAAGUGGCCCUCCUGGCCACACAGGUAGCACCUGCCCCGACUGCGUGAACACUGCCAUGGAAAAUGGGGACCACCGCAGAUCACGCAGCGCGGAGCCUGGCGUCGAUCAGGUCCCCCCCGCUGUGUAGACUGGCCACGUCCUCGCGACUGGGUCCGGUGUCUCGGAUGUCUCGGCGGCCUCCCUGAGUGCGCCUGACUCGCACCCUCAACCGCGGGCCUCUUGCCUUUGCCUUUGUCCAAGGCCUCUCGCCGCUCCUGCAGAUCUGCUGCUCCACUCUCAACUAUGAGUGCGCGGUUCACAACCUCCCGGUAGGUUUGGAGGUUGGAAGACUGAACGAACCGAAAGAUCGAAGGCCGCAAUCCCCGCUCAAAGAUGCGGGCCUUGUCCUCGUCGUCCUGAACAACGAAGGGCACACAAUGAAGAAGCCGGGAGAACUCUCUCUCGUACUUAGCCACCGUCCUGUCCCCCUGGCGCAGGUUGCGUAGAUCUUGCUCCAUCUUCCUCUUGACACUGUCAGGGAAGUAAUGCUCCAGUAGGAGUUCCUUGAACCUCCUCAAAGAAAUCGCCGUCAGAUCCGUGCUGAGGUUGUCCUCGAUGUCCAACCACCAUCUGUAGGCCUCGCCGUCCAAAUGAUGUGUGGUGAGCCACACUCUAUCCUUUUCCUCAACGAAGGUAUCCCGAAACAGCUUCUCCAUAUGCAUAAGCCAUUUCUCCUCGAUCCAGUGAUCCACGUUCUCCCCGUCAAAGGUCCGGGGGCUGCAUCUCCUGAACUCACAGAGACGCUCCAUAAGCCGAUCCCGCUUAGCUCCCUUAACCAUCACGGGGAAAAUCGCCCCCGCUACAAAUACUCGCGCUGGUGGUGCCGCGAUGUCCUCUCCCCGAGAUGCCACCGCUGGUGCCGUCCUAGAAGCGUCGAGUGCAGGGGACGACACCCUAGGCGCGACCACCUCUACUGGUGCGGGUGGUGUAGGGAUCUGAGUCUUCCUGGCAGCCGCAUGCUACAGCAGAAGGUCCUCCAGGCGCUUCAUCCGCACCUCCUGUCGAAGCGCCGUGUCCGCCUGUCGCGUCACCAAAUCAGUGAGGGCUGCCAGCUAGCCCCUCAACUCACGGACCUCGCUGGAUCCGGAGGUAGCGGAGGUCUCAGCCUCCUCAAAUUGUGCCGCAUUGUCCGCCCCCGCAGAUUGAGAGCGCGUAAUCGGCAUUGUCACUACAAAACAUAAAAGCGCAAGUUAGUAACCCGCGCUAUCGAAUCCCCGCUCAAAUAACAAUACCCAAAUCAUGCGAAAGUAAGGAAGUGUUAUCCACAACUAACUCCCGAUGUUACAUUGUCGGCCGCCAACGUAACCCUCCGCGAAGUUAGAAGCCAUACACUCCGAUUAAACUCUAACUUUUUAGAGUUGUCAUAAAACCCAAUCAUAAUACUUUCGCUCACAAGUCAAAUAGACCUCGUCUCUCGCGAGCCUAUUUCCUAUAGUCCAACCGGCCUAAGGUUUGCUAGGUCCGCUAAGACUCAACCCUAGGCUCUGAUACCAAUUUAAUCUGUCACGCCCCGGGACCGGCAGAGGCCCUCCCGGUAGCGCGCCCAGACCCGCCAUAUGUCUACACAUAUAAGGCGUCUACAACAACAGCAGAAAUAAAGCAAGAGAUGAUUCGCAACUAGAGAUAUCAGAGCAAAUACACAACUAUAAUCUAUAAUAAGAGUAGAUGGAACAACUAAGUAAUAAAGAGGAAACAUAAAGUUAUACAAUAACCAUCUCAAAAGUACACAAAAUGGGUGGUCUCUAUUACACUGGUACAGCUCUCAACCUCUCCAAAAAGAAAACAAUGAGAGGUCGACCACCUAUCAAGGCGUCCUUCGAAGCCAAGCUAACUUGAGGCGAUACCCUUUCCGCGGUCCCUAGCCUCUCCCGGCGUGGAAGGCUUUGAAAUGACAUCAAGAAAAAGAGGGCGUGAGAACUAUAAUUUAUAGUUCCCAGUGGGCAAUUACUGACCCCAGCUCAAUGCACCACUAGGCCCCAAAAGAAAAGGGUAAGUCCAAAAAGCAACAAUAAUAAUAAAUGGAUUGCAUUUAUGGAAGCAUGAUUAAAAUACUAAACUACUAUGUCGCAAAUAAACAUGAUGUCAAACGUGUUGUACAUCUACUUUAUCAAAAUGAAGUAUGUCCAAGCAUGACUAAUAUGUCCCAACAUAACGAGCAAGUAGGUAUCAUGAACCACUAUAUCAAUGUAUGAUGAAUAUGCUCUAUCAUGGCAGCAAAGUAUACUAUGAUGCAACAAAUAAGACUAUCAUGUAUACUACAAGUCCCAACACUAUGUUAUAAGCAUGUCAAGGUAAUCAAACUACUAAGCCUAUCUAGUAGUGAUAGCCAUUUUCCGGUUCAAUGUCAUUGUUUCCAACAUGUUCUAGGACCUACAUAGUGUAGUCCAGCUUGUGCCACCUAAGUGUCGGUGGUAGCUCUAGCAUUCCCGCUCUAGGAAUGAGUCUAUCCCUCCCGACCCCUUAGGUUUCUCGAUACCGCACGAGCGAGCAUAAGUCGCGUAGGCCAACUCCGGAGUGUCGGUUUGUAGGGAGCGACCCUCACAAGCAUGUGCGAAUGAACACAAAUGGCAAACAAGCGUAAUCAUCGUCUCAAGUACCCAAUCAUCAUUGCUCUAACAUGGUAUUAGUCACUAGCAUCUCAUCGAUCUAGCUCUAGGUUACAAUGUGAUGUUCCAACACUCACUAUGCUUAGUGCCUCUUCAUGACACUUAAGCUUGAUAUAAGUUAAGCACAUUUCAUAUUCUAUGUUCUAUUCAUGACAUUAGUACUAGGUUCUCAUUUAACCCGAGCUCAAUGCCCCUUUAUGGCAUUAGCUCACUAAUUCACAAGUCAAAUUAGUCCAAUGCCGCUUUAUAGCAUUAUAAUAGUUUCAAUAUUCGAUUGAGGUUUAAGUCCAUAGGCACUUUACAUAUGUCAUUUCUACUAGGUAAACAUGAACCCAAGUCUCUCAUAAGAAUGCUAAUGCACAUAUACGCCUCACAUGCAAGUUCUCUACUUCAUAGAGGUCCGAAAAUACAAUGUAUAAAACAUAGGCAUUUUAAGCAUUCUAAAAUUCAUAAAUAAUACAUCUAACAUAAUUAUGCAUGCUUUUUCAUUUAACGAUACUCAAUUCAUCACAAAUGAGAUUUUCUCAUUGUGUCGCUAGGUCAAACCCACCGAACCGUCUCGGAAUCCUUCGUUUCGCCGAACGGAGUUGUCUACAAGUCUCUAAGUACCCUAAAAGUAAGGAGCGAAGAGAUAAACAAAUGUUACGAGCAACUCUAGGCUCAGACAUUAACCACCACAAGCAAAGGGGCAAAAACUCACCUAGGGAGCAGAAAAUCUCUCUCAAGCUCCAAAAGAGAGCUAGAAUCCUUCCAAUCUAACCUAAAGAAAGGUUCUAAUCCAAAAAAUUGAGCUCCAAAAGCCCUAGAUCCAAAAUACCCAAAAUCUACCCUAAAACCUCAUUCUAGGGUUUCAUCUCAAAGAAUCUAUCAAAACAAGAAUCUAAAUGAAAGAAACUUGUUACCAACCGCUUGGAAGCUUCAAUCCAAGCUCUAAGUCUUCAAACUUCAAAGAUCCUCCCUCAACCAAGCUCCAAAUCAAAGCUUCAAGCUUCAACCAAGGUGGAAAAGCCUCCAACAAGCAAAAGAGAGGCUUAAUCUCCUAAAAAUCCAACCAAAAAUCAAAGAAAGAGAUCGAGAGGUGUGGAGGGCUUCCUCUCCUUUCUCCUUACUGGUGCCAAGCUCAUGGGAGGCUCCUAGGGAGUGGGGAUACAAAUAGAGUUGCUACAAUAGCAAUUACACCCCUGCAGAACCGUCUGUUCAGAAUCUGUCACUGCGUACCGGUACACGGGCCCGCGUACCGGUACACCUCCCACGAAAAGGCCAAACCCGAGCCUCGGGUUUGCCUCAAAACUGCCUAUGUACCGGUACACGGGCCCGCGUACUGGUACAACCAUCAACCCUGUAAUAUACCGUAAAUUCGGAAAGUGAAUAUCGAACUUUAGUCGAAUUGACCAAAGUGCGAGGAUGGAACACUUCGGAGAGUCCGAAGGUGUUAAAAUGAUCAAAAGUGAGUUGUGGGUAAAUGUCCGUUAUGUAACAGUAAAUAAGGUCUGAAAGAAAUAAAGAUCAAAGUAGCAUACUCCUACAUUUACAAUGACUAAAGGUUUUCGGAAGAGCUAAAGUAGCAAAUUCAAAUUCUGCAACAAGCUGAAUCUUCCAGCAGAUUUUCAGCUUCUCGGGACCUGCCCUCCCCUGUAGGGAAAUUAGAUGACCAGGGAUAAGUCGCACACAACCGAGUUAACACGUAUGAAAAUGAGACUAUGACUUGGCCAAGACACGAAAAAUCGCUAAAGUCGCUGAGAGUAUAGUUUCCGAACUCUUCGGAAAAGCCCUCCAGGUCCCGCGCAUCUAAUCCUACCAUGUCCUGAAAGACGUCGCUGUCCCCGAGAGACGCAUUCCCCUAGAGGAGAGAGCCAAGGUCAGUUCCACACUGCGCGGCGUCAAGACUACUGCACUUGGCGCUAAGGCGACGAACUAGUCGGAACCGUCCUGAAAGAGAGACACGGUCCCCGCUAGCGCGAUAUUGUCCACCAGUUCGGCGCAGUAUUAAAGUGUAAAUUCAAGGUUUUAUUGCAUUUUUAUUGUGCAACCCAUUGUGAGUCUUAUGUUUUUUAUGGUGGAUAAUGAAAACUUAGGAGGGUGGCUUUUCCUCGUCUAAUGCAAUUUCUUGCUCUAUUUAAAGCCAUACCCUCAAAUCAAAACUAAGCAGAAAUGUGAUAUGAAGAGGCAUCUCAAACACUCUCUUAACUCUAUUCAACCCAUCACUAUUGGCGUCGAGUCUCUCUAUAUAAAAAAAGACAUUUAAGGAGAAGAGAGGACAAAAACAAGGAAACGAAGGAAAAAAGAGAAAAGAAAAAGGAGGGAAGAAAAGAAGGAAAGUGAAAGACUAAUAAGCCACUCGUCCCUGAUACAUUCACACACAUUAGCCGCUUCGAGACAAGAAGAAAGAUUACUAGAGUAGAAGCUCUAUAACCCUAAAUCAUCGUAGAACUUACUCUAGGGUUUGGAUAAGCUUAAAAUGGGUUUUAUGGAACACAUUUUGAGUAUUAUGAACGCAUUUUUCUUAUUGCUUCUUCUGUUUGAGAUCAAGACCAUAAAUGGUGAACUUUGAGCUGAGCUUCAUCACGCGCCGUCAAUCGAGGUGAACAUACCCUUAGGGUAGUCUGAGUUGCAUAUAAGAUGGUUCUAAUAUCUCGAACUUCUUAGAGUAUAAUGAACGAGUCACUUUGUCCCACAUUCUCUACUUAGAGAUCAACACCCUAGGUUGGAUAUACUAUUAGGAGCCAUAGGUUGGCAUCCCAUAAUUUCGGCGGCUUUUGCUCAUUCGAAGAGGUUCUGAAGGCAAUUGACUGCCUGUCGUAGAAACACGCUAAAUUCGGCAAGAUGGUAUGUCCAACCUCAGCGUGGGUGCGCUCAGAAUAGCAUUACGAAAAGGCCGACGAAAAGUUAAAGGGCAAAAUGGCCUAAUAAGGGUUCGCAGCCGCAGUAAUAGAACAAAUGGAGUCGAAAAUCCCGUAAGAAAAUCGUCGAAGCACCUUUGGGAAGCCUACGACCGUGGUGUCUUUUAAACCUCAUUGAAAUUCUCUCACUAUGCCUAAUUGUGUUCAUUCUCGUGAGCAUAAAUGUUCUAUUAUAUUUGCAUUGCAUUGUAUUAGGGUAAUGUACAUGGCAUAAAUGCGGAUGCAGUCGGAAUAUUGUCGAGGCACAAAACUUGCAUAAUGACAUGGUUAGAAUGGCUAAAUUAUAUCUGUCACACAUAACACCUUCGUAAUCAUAGACUCUGUCAUCGCAUGCAGCAGAAAUGUAGUACAAAAGGAACCCAUCACUUCAUAGAACUGAUCCAUAAAAACACGAAGUGGCACUAUGACAUAGAUCGAGUGGCAUUUAAAAUGUAAACGUAAACAGAGACACUUAAUUGAGGGUAGUGUCGAAUUGUCAAACACGUACCAAAAGUCAACUGUAAAGAAGAUGAAAAUACACAAUGUUUAUAAGUAAAGUACAUAGUGGCGACGCAAGAAUAAAAACACAGUAUUGUCAACGAAACAAGCAUGCUAGAGCUUAGGCCAAAGAGUAAAGAAAUGUAAAAGAAAGUGAUUGUGAAUGAAGUUUGCAACAUAAAAGUGAGUGUAGAAGAACACUAGAGCUAGUGAAAUCAAGAUUGAACUUAUAAAUCCUUUGAGUAAGGAUAUGAAUCAUACUUGCUCAUGAGUUCCGUGCUCCGAGCGGUGCUCCCUCGGGCGCAUGCGUCCGGAGUUAUGGCAUUCCGUUGGAUAAACCCCGUAAGGACGGUCCCCUAGCGCGUCGAGUUCGCUGCGAUGAUGGAUUUAACUGUGAAGCAAGUUAAAGCGGUCGAUAACCCCGGGUUACCCUUGAGAUUAAGAACAAAGAACAAAGAGCAAAGAAUAAAGAACAAAGUACAACAGUAAAGUCAAAGAACGAAUCGAGCUUAUAAUCUGGGCAUCUAUUCAAUUGUCUGACAUAACUUCUUGCUUAUUGUUCAGGGCAUAUUAAGUAUUAUGUUAUAGAUUGGUUACUAUACAGAUUAUUCUUUCUAUUUAGCCUGGAGUUAAGUGCCUAGUGGCGAGGAAACUAUAAUUAAAAGUCGGCUCUGAUGUUGAGGCGCAGAUAGUAGACCUAGAACCCACUGGGGGAUUUAAAUUUGAUUGUAGUACACCGGCCGACAUAAUUUUCCACACGCAGUCCGGUAACUGCGGUGUCCCGAGAGCGAUCCGGCGAUCCCCCGUUUUUGAAGCUCGAUCUCGACCUCUCAAAAGCGCCGAGGUACAAGGUAUCUAUCAGGCGCCUGGUUAAGUAAAGUGGAGCGACAACCAAACGUUGGGUACAUUUGUUAGCAACACCCUUUUAUCACUUUUGUUAUUUGAUGAUUAAGCAAUGCUAAAGAAAAGAAUGUAAAGCUUUAUUUUGAGCGUAAAUGUGUAUGUAAGAAAGAGAAUGAUGAAAUUAUGUAAUAGAAUGGAAAGAAUCUUAAGUUUUAGAGAUGGAUGCAAUGUAUAUGAUCCACAACGAAUCAUAUUACUGGUAGAUUUUAAUUUCCUUUCUUUCACUAAUGGGCCCUAUGUGGCUGUAGAAGCCUCGCGGAUUACCGGCUGAGGCGACGCGGUUCUGUGUUUUCCGCGCCUACCGCUUACUUAAUCUUUUCGGAAUUGAAAAUGUACACGCGUGUGAUGAGCCUUGGGCCGUAUACGGGGAAACUCUGUCCGUCUCGACGUUGUUGGAGCUGUGCUCGGCGUCGCCUAAUUGGUACGGGUCCGGGGCGUGACAGGAUAAGUUGUAUCAGAGCAAAUAGUGACAAGAAUAGAAUGGACCUAGAACCUAUAGGAAUUGGACAGGCCUUAAGGAUCUAGAAACGUGAGUGACCUGGAAUCAGUUAGCGAAAGCAUCGUGAUUGGGCUUAAGUUGGAUAGCGCUUCUAAUGUGAUUAAGAGGCUAAGUUUUAAUUUCCGUGUUAUCCUCUACUCUAUCGUGUUGUGUGGGGCAGGCCACGGCUCAUGGCGAGUCCCGGGACCGAUCAUACGCUGAGGGGCAAGGAUGAAUGCGUGCAUCAUGUUGCUUGCCUCAUUGGGUACAUAUUGGUUCAAAGUAAAGUUUGGGUGCAAACUCUGCACUAAUUCGAGUUGCUUCUUUUCAGGAAGCCGAUUGGCACCUCGAACCGUCCGAUCAGCAGAAAGGUCGAAUGCCGGAGGAACGAACUGCGGUGCCCGAGCAAUCGCCGGAGCAAGUGGCACGGAGAGCUUAGGGGAGCUAAAUCGGCCGCUCUUAUUGGAGGUGUGCGGCAGUCAACAGAGUCUUUAAGCGCCACAGGGGAUAAGAUUCAGCGGCUCCAGGAGUACCUUAAGCGCCACCGCAGGCGCCGGCAGCUCAGGCGGGCCGUCGAGCGCAUGUCCCGCCACCGUGGUAGUGCGCAGUGUUGUUGAGGAGCGGCGGCACGCAGCGGCCGUUCUAGUUACAGUUCGUGCCGGCGCGGCGUCGGAACUUCGAAAAUCCGCGAUAGUCACGGCAGUCCGACUUGCGCGAGCCGAGAGCCGCACAUUGCGCCGCUUAUACAGUUCACGAAGUUCGAUCCCACUACCCUCGAGGGUGGUUGGUGGAAGCCCAGCCAGCUUGGAGGUCGUGAUCGACUCAAUGGAGACCUCUUCGAGAUCUCCAAUACUCGAGAACGGAUACAAUGUACCUCCGCCACUUCAUUGUCUAGAGAAAGCGCAAACGGUGUGGUGGACAGCGAGUGAAAGCGGAAUCGUCCGUACCGAUCCGCUUAGCUUUGGGAGGAGUUCAAGAAAGCGGUAUUCGCCGAAAGAUACUUCCCCGACACUGUGAAGGCGCAGGCUACAAGAAAAGUUUCCGCAGUGAGACGGGCGAUCGAUCAUCGGUGGGACGGUAUGAGCAGAUCUCUCCACAUUAUUGAAUGCGUUCCCGGACGUUCGUCGUGGAUGAUCGGGAGCCGGGCGGAUGUGGUUCUUGCGAGGACUCCAACCCCGGAUAUGAAAAGGCUGCAUGAUGCGAAAGUGUUUUUCCCCCCCCGACCCUUUGCGGAGGUCUUCGAUUAGAGCCUUGUGGGCGGGAGCACGGUAGCCGGCCCAUCGUCCGAAAGCGAGAGCUAUGCCGAUGUCCAAGGACACUUCUCUGAGGGCAAGAGUAAGGACGGCGGGUGUCGCCCGCAACGGCGACGGCCAAAUGCUAGAAACCCUCCCGUAUCUCCCGACAGCAAGCCGAGGAACUGACGACCACCCGCAUGCUCAUAUGUGGCGGUGAGCACAAGGUGUAUUGAACCAGCGAGACGCGCAAAUGUUUCAUAGUUGGUCCCAACCGGACAUCUUAUCCGCGGUAGUUGCCCCUCCGUAUCGUCGUCUGGCGGCCGCACGGCUGCAUCAGCACCGUCCUAACCCCGAGACAUGCUUGCGGGUUGCCACCCAAGCGAUGUCGGCUGGGCGCCGCCGUCAUCAACCGCUCAAGGCCCGCGAGGGACUCCUCCGGAGAGCGCGGCGGAGCUCCUGAGUUGCCGGCCUGACCUCUUUGCACGCGUGCCAGGUGGAGGCGGCGCGAACGGGCCGAGAGGCGAGACCUGGCGCCGCGUAGUCGACACUCCCGCCCGAUGGCCGAGCACCCGUGGUCGUGGGCGACGGCGAAUAUAGCGAUUGGAAUUUAGACAAGGCGUGGCACGAGACGCUAGAGCUAGGUUUUGAUACGGGCGCAUCACCACACUUGCAUGCCGUGGUUCGCGCAUUCUGGCGCGGGUCAGGUGUUCAGGCGGAUGAGGGGUCCUGGUCAUUAAGGGUAGUCAGAGCCGUUAUGGGUUUAGGGUUUGGGUCCAUGGCGAGGUGGAGUCUCGAAAUCGUGUUGGGUAGUACCGUUUUGUUCGAACUGUAUCGCUAAAGGACGACUCAUCAUUGCGCCAAGCUACACGAAGAAUGGAUUAUUAACGUUCUGUCAUGUUUAGUGCAUUAUUUUUUGUUUUAGGGCGGCUUACGCUCCACGAGCAUUUCAUGUCAGGGUCCAAAGCGAGUGUUUGGCGUCUCAGUGAGCAAAUAAGCGAUUGGAUUAUUCGCCGGAUUGAUCUGCGCAUAGUGGCUAAGAUCAGCUGUUUUGAUGGUGGUGGAUGAGGACUUUUCGAUCCGCAACUGGUGAUAUAAUCAUUUAAUGGAACCACCACUGGGAUCUCCAAGAUAUCUUACGCUGUGUGAUAGUAAGUAAAUUGUAGGUAAAGCAAUAGGUGAAUACACAUUUUAUGUUGUUGAGCCUAAUUCACAGAAGGAUGACUAAUCUAUCCCAACUAGCGUGGGCAAGAAAUUAGCGCCUUAUAUGUAACAAACAAAUUAAUAAAUAAAUAAAUCAAAAUGUGUUUUCUUCAAUCGAGGUUCAAAUAAUGUAUGAGAGGCGACUUGAUUAAAAGAAAAAUAUUGACCAGAAUUAUCAUUCUUUAGUCCUCGUUAAGGGCCCGGAUAUAUCAAAUUUAGAGAAAUUGAGAUAUCAAUUUAAGCGGUGGAUUGUAAGCCUACCUAUUGGCCCAACCAUCGGUGAUCCUGCCGUCAGGGACACCUCAGACUUGGAAGUAUCCGGGUUGCGUGUGAGUUUCCGAUGUGCUUUCGGCGGGAGUACCUCAAAUUUCAGUGAAAUUAUCGCCUAUAUAAAACCGAACUUUUAAUUUUUAUCUGAUUUACAGCUAAGCCGGAAAAAGUCGAGUUUGGUUAUUACAUAUUUUAAUUUUAAAAUGACUCUGAAUUAUCACCUAGCGGGACUUUGUUGUAUUAGUUACAGCAGAACCAGUUUCGAAUUACGUUAAUGCUAACCGUAAAUUAGAAUCUGGCUAGCAUCCGGUGGAGUUAUAACAAUUGCAGUCUUAAAAGGUUUCAAUUACAAGACUUGCUAAGUCAAAGACGUGACAUUCCGUACUGAGGUUAUUAAACAUACCAGAUAGUGUAUGUCAUACGCUGAUGUGUGAGAGAACUUCCUGUAGUGCUAAUAAGCUCACUGACAGUUAGAGAAAAAGGAUCGUUUAAGCAACACCUUCGACUAACCCUCACUCGCGUAGAUAAUCACGCGAAGUUAAACAAAAGAUAAACUCGGUAACAAAAGAAACUUAAGGUAAAAACAUUCGAGUUGCAAGGAUUGACGAUCUAGCUUCGAUCAGUUGUUCAGAUAAAUUUGGCAUUCAAAGGGUCAAAGGUGUAAUUGAAAAUUAUCCAAUUUUAAAAUUAAGUCAAUCGGGGUUAUCGGAAUUUAAUUAAAGAUUCAGAGCGCAGACCACCACCACUCAUCCGAAGGAUUGCAACGUAAUCAACGCGGUGACCGUAACCCGGUAUGCCAUUAUAGCUUCACGGUAAUGCCGUUUGGCUUACUAACGCCCGCCCCCGGCAUGUAAGUUUUGGCUUUUAUAGAGCUUGUAUUUUGAAUUACUGAGCGUCUUUAAGGCCCGUUGUUGUGAGAUACGCAUAAACGUUUCUUAAAUGCCAUAUUUUACCUAUUUUUGGUAUUAGAAUAUAAAAUUAAAAACUUGCUAUUCUUUCGUGGUGUUUAUAGACGACUGUUUUGGUUUACUUGAAAAGUGAAGGGAGCGAUAACACGAGAAGAAGCACAUAAAUUCUAUGAGAGGCGUGUUGCGGCAUUGAUACUCAGAUUCAAGAGAGCGUUCAUGUCUAAAAAUAAAAAUAUGUGAACUUUUGGUGUUGUGCUACAAGGAAGGUCACAAUUCACUUAAAAGUGUGAAAAUUAUGAUAGGUUCUUAAUAGUGGUUAUCCGGGCGACACUCGGAGUUUCGGUAGACGCGAAGAAAGUAGGGCAAUUAAAGAUUGGCCUCGCGAGAUUUAUAAUCCAAUAGACGAAAUGUGAGGCGAGAUCGCGCAGCAGUUUAUCGUUGAGAGCACUGUUUCGGGCGGAUGCUACUCAAGUAUAGCACGGAAUACAAUUUGAAACAAGCAUAAUUACUGCGUUGUUGUUUUCUGUGCACGAUGUUCGGACCAAAAAAUCAUAACCACGUGCCGCUAGAAAAUUUUUCAAUAUCAUUCCCCGCGCCUUACACAUAAGGAGUAAGUACUGUGGAAGCGACGAUUGCGAUCCGACAGCUGAAGGGUAAUUCAAGUAUACCAGAGCAGGCUUGACCUCGACACUCUUCACUUUAGUAUCAUACUGGUCUUUUAAAGGUCAGGUGCUUGCCUUGCCAAACUCCGGAAGACUUUGUAGUGUAUCCAAAGUUAAGUGAUUCGGCUCUCUGUAAGUCUUAUGUUAGGUCUCUUUUAUUUGGUGGUAUGUCGAUUUAUUUCAUCAAGAUAUCGGGGUCAUUGCUUAUCGCACGCGCCAGUUAAAGAGUUAUAGAAAAAAGUACCCAAUUUCACGACCUCGAGUUAGCCUGCGGUGAUUUCGAGCGCUAAAGCUUGAGCAUUACCGUGUAUGUGAACAUUGUGAGUAUACAUCCGAUCAUAAGCACGUUAAGAGUAACCAUUGUUCACCCCAGAAAGAAUUGAAUAGCGACGCGCGGUGGUUGGAGUUGCUACAUAGUUCUUUUUAUCUAUGAUGGUCACCAUAUAUUAAAUCAUCUGCACUCGUUAAAUUAUAUACCCAAAAAUUCAGAUACCGAAAAGCCAAUGUCGUGGCCCGAGCUCUAAAGUGAAAAUCGGCCGGAGAACUUAGCGAACGGCAAUUGCGCCUCAAGCACUAUUUAAAAGGAAAUAAACGUUGGGUGGGAAGUGGUUCCAGCGCCGGGAGUGCCGCUACAUUGCCACACUAGUUUGUGCAAACCGACCCUAUUUGAAGAGAAAUCCAAAAGAGUUAGCACAGCUUCGAUCUUUUUCUCAAAAGGCUUCAAGAUGAUGUGAGAAACGUAAGCCGAGGAUUUUAGUGUUGGAGGUUAUGGCGGGCACCUUCGAUUUUCGAAAUCGAUGGUGUGUACCAAAGGAUGGGGAGUUUGCCGAAGGACAGAUCAUGCAAGACACGCACAAUCUCCUUAUAGUAUAACACCCCGCGGCACUAAAAUUGUAUCAAGGACUUGAAAGAGGCAUUAAUUGGGUGGCUCGGCGCUUAUGAAAAAAGAUAAUCGGGAGUUUGUGGCGCAAUGUUAUUAAAACAGGCCAGCAGUUAUAAGCAGAGCGCGAUUCCCCGCGGUGAAAGCUAGCAAGUCUACCAGUAACCCCCCGUCAGCUUAUGGGAAAUUUGGUAGUCAAGAGCCACAUACAAAUGAAUCAUGUUACCUUAUUUUUACGAGCGUUGCCUGCCGAUCACAAGGCGGACACCGAUGCGAUACCUGGGUGAUCAGUGGACUCGAUGACAAAGUCGGCUACACUUCCUUGCCGAACUACAGUAUCUACUUAGGCUCGUUUUAACUUUAUCACUGAUUGAUAGACAGGCAUCGAAAGCGCAUAGUAUUAUCUCAAAUUGACCUGAGGGGUUGAUUGCCACUUCCAGGGGCCCGCCAGUAUCGAUGAAAUUGUGUCAGAUACGCUAAGACCCCAGGUUCACAUCCCAAAAGAUAACACACACACUUUUGUGAAGGAAGUAUUGCCAAGACCGCGUACAGCACACCACGGCACAAGAUCACUCCUAUACAGACGUGUGCAGUUUUUUCAUACCUCGACAGACAGUGAAUGCGAACAACUUCUAGUAGACAAUGACAAUACGAUACGAAUAUACUUAUGAAGGAAUUUAACUUCCUGCAGCAUCAAAGGUGUGCAUUAACAUGGUUAGACAAAUAAGCAGGCACUGGCAUGAUUUCUUGCUAGUGAGCGGGAGGUUGUUGCCAUAGUCAAGUAAUUAGCUACUCCUAUUUGACAUAAAUUUUGAAAUGAUUAGUCAUAAGAAGCGGCCCUACUAUUUUAGGAGUCAUCACUAUAAUUUAUCGUGGAUCGUAUAUGAGUGUCGUAGUCACCAAUUUUAAAAACCAUUAAUUUACUAUUCCAUUGGAGCGACGUGUGGCGCAAGAGAUGAUGCUAAAUUUGAACAUCUUGUGGAUCCCCUGAUGUGGGGCGGGAGGCGGAAAGAGGUAUAGAGUCCGCCACUUGCCCUCAACAACUUGGGCCAUAUUUGCCCAUGUUUGGCUGAUGGCUGCAAAUACUACGUCCAAAAAUAGAAGUUAUGCCGAAAAGACGGCGAAGGAAGAUUUGAGAGCUCGCUAUCGAGUUGGGUUUGGGAGACCUCUGUUAGUGAGUCUUGAGCAGGUGUUCCGCCGAUCCGUUUAUGAGAUGUUGAAAGUCCAAAGACGAUCUACAUGAGGAGAGUCCGAUGGGAAAAUGCUAUAGGGUCACCGUUAUGCCAUCGGCAACAACGUGUUUCAGAGAUAUUGGUUAAGCGUGUGUUGAAGCUUUAUGCGUAUGGACAUACAAAGCUCCGCACUACCACCACUUACUUACAGAAACUUAGUAUAUUUUUUCGUUUUUUUUUUUUUUCAAAAUUAACUUUUGUGCCAUCGUGAGACUACAUCGAGUAGUCUCACCAAUGAUGUUUCAUGUGUCAGUAUCCUCGUACAAAUAUAUUAAUCAUUACCGAACGCGACACAAUGUAUUGAGUAAGUUGAGCCCGCGUGACACGUGAGAUAGCUCCUAGCGAGGAGUACCUCCCGGUGUGCAUCCUCGAGUCGAGAAAGUAAAGAAUUGCGAAAGCAUGAUAACAAUACUCUAACUAUGCAAGAUCCUAUCACAUUUAUGCUGAAAAAUUCCAGUGCUGCACGACCAUGAAAUGUCGAGCAGCCACUUCGGCAGCGUCGAUGGAAAGAUAUGCGCGAUGUAGAUAGACGCUAUCACUAAUUAUGAUAUGUUCAGAACCGUAUAACAAGCGUAGUGAAGAGUGCGUAGAAUUUCGAGCCAUGAAUUAAACAAUAAAUUAAAAUUUAGCGAAAUUAUUUUAAAGGGAAGUAGUAUGAACUGUAAUAUAUUGUUAUUACGUAAAUUCUGUGUAAAUGUUGAAUAUCUGAAUCUUUAGUCUGCAAUGUUGACGGCAAAGUGCGAGGAUGGCAAUACUUUGGAGCGAGUCCGAACGGUGUUUAAAAUGAUCAACAGGGAGUUGUGGAAGAUGUUCAUUAUUACACUGUAAGGNNNNNNNNNNNNNNNNNNNNNNNNNNNNNNNNNNNNNNNNNNNNNNNNNNNNNNNNNNNNNNNNNNNNNNNNNNNNNNNNNNNNNNNNNNNNNNNNNNNNCUCCUCUCUUGCAAGCUCCAAGAUCAAGCCUCCAAGCACCAACAAGGUGGGAAGAGAAGGAGAGGAAAAUGCUCCAAGUCCUCAAGCUAGAUUCUCCUCCUCUUCUUCUCCUUCUUCUUCUUCUCUUCAUUUUUCCCCUUCUUCUCUCUAGGGUGUUGGGAGAAUGAGAGAAUGAGAAAUGAGAAAAGGGAGAGGGUGAAAUGGCCAUAUAGGCCAUCAAAUGCAACAAAAUCCAAAGAGGCCCCUCAAUUUCCCAAUAUUGCAACAGCCCGUACUGGGCAGUUUUCGGACUGAGGGACCGGUCUCCUGACAUGGGACCGGUCUCUCGGCCUGCCCCGAAAAUCCAACGUUCGGGAACCGGUCUCUCCCCGCAUGGGACCGGUCUCUCCCCGCGUGGACGCGCUCGGGGACCGGUCUCACCCGCCAGGGACCGGUUGCCUCAAGGCUGCCGCAAUACUAUUCCGGGGGGGACCGGUCUCUCCCACUCACGUUUUCGAAUUUUUUUAGGUCGGAAAACAUUCUACGACCCUCCACCAAGUGUGGAAAAGCUCGAAACACAUCCAAUCACUCGAACCUCGCAAUUUGCACAGGUCCAGUGUGCUACAGAUGACCCACCACUUCUUUGGGUCAAGAACUCCCCUAUCUUCAAUAGAGUCGUGCUCAUCAAAUCCCUUUCCGGCAGUGGAAAAAUUUGCAAACUCCUCUUUUACAACUCUUCUUUCUUCAUUAUUUGGAAAAAAUCUUUUUAAGCACUUGUUUCUCAUCUUUGAUAUCUCCAAAUCCCUAUGCGGAGGAACUCGAUUUAGAUCCUCAUUAAGCCACGAUGAGCUAUAGUAUCUAAUGAAUAUAAGAAAAAUAAAAAUUAGGAUAUGAUAGUUGUAUUACAAAAUACAAAUGAACAAAAGUAUACAUAAGGUUUAGGGGAAAAAAAUUACCUAGGUUCAAAGAACGUGCCAAGCAAUGAAGUGGAGUAUUGCUUUUAGCCCAUCGGUCAAUCAAAAUUUUGUGCACAACGGAAUAAAAUGAUGAUUCCUCGUUUUCUUUCUUUCCUUCACGCCUAUAUAUAGCCACUUUCACCUUUUCUAUCAUGGAGUCCCAAGUUUCAUACAUCGAAUGUAAGCCAAGCUUGUCGGUAUCGGCAAUCCGAAGCAUCUCAUAUAUGGGUUCGGUAAAAGAAAGAAUAUAGUUAAUUUGAUCCCACCACAAGUCAUUGAGAAUUCUAUCUUUUACAAAUUGUGCUUUCCCUACAUCAUCCUCCCUAUAGCUAACCCAUUUGUCACUAAUACCCAUAUUUUGAAGACCCCGUUUGAUUUGCUUGAAUCGUCUUAGCAUGACGAUUACCGAAGCGAAUCGAGUCUCGGCCACCGCAAGCAUUUUCAAGUUGACAAACUCAUUAAAGAUUGCCAACCUCAUGGAAUGAUUCAAGAUAAAAUUCUUGAUGCAUGCUACAUCCUCCGCUAUGAUAGUAAUCCAACUACAUUCAUCAAAAGUAAUUUCAUUGGCCUCGGUAUUCUUAGCCGCGCAAAUAUUUUUUAAUGCAAGGUUCAAUGUGUGCACAACACAAGGAGUCCAAAAUAUUGAAGGAAAUUGCGCUUCAAUCAACAUUCCCGCGCUUUGCACACGGGAGCAUUAUCUGUUAUCACUUGAACCACAUUUUGGGGUCCAACCUCUUCAACAACUUUCGAAAUCAUGCUAGCAAUAAAAUAUUUAUCCUUAUAUUCCCCUUCGCAAUUGAUCGCUUUUAGGAACAUCGGUCCACUCUCUUAUGGCCAAAAAGUUGAUCAACGGCCUUCUUUGUGCAUCGGUCCAUCCAUCACAUACAAUGCUUAAACCUUUCUCCCUCCAAGUGCUUUUUAUAGGCUCCAAUAACCUCUCAAUAUUUGUUCUUUCUUGUUGAAGAAGACUAGUUCUCAGCAUAUUAUAAUUGGGAGGUAUAUAAUCUGAAAUAUUAUGACUAGCCGCAAAAGUAUAGAAGCUAACAUAAUAAGGAUUUCUUGCAAGAUUAAAGGGCAAACCACCGGAAUAAAACAUUCUAGCAAUCUCACAAUGUAGCUGGUUUCGAGCCGCCACGUUGAAAGACUUCUCUAGAGCUGUUUCACGAGUUGGUGUUGCCCUUUUUUUUCUUGGCUCGAAAGAUUGCACCCCCAUACUCUCUAUACUUGUGUCAGAAGAUUUGGUAAUAGUUUUUGGCAAAGGAACUUGUUUAGGGAUAGAAUUCUUUAACCUUAAUUCUACCUCUUCAACAAGUCUUUUCAUCUCCGCAAUAUUAUCACUAGUAACCUUAGAGCAACCUUUGAUUCCUUGUCCUGAAAUUCUCAACAAAUGGGCUUUGACCCUAUAAUAGGAUCCAUUAUAAACUUGUUUGCAAAAAUUGCAUUCGAAUCUCAUGUUUCCUCCACCAUCCCCUAACUUUUCCACCUUUUUUACAUACUUUCAUAAUGGAGUAUUAUCAUUAAUACUACUUGAACUACCACUAGUACUACCUCUUGUACCGCUACUGCUACCAUCGGUAGAAGCUUGACUCUCACUAUUCAUUUUCUAUAAUCCUAUGCAUGUCAAGAUAAAUAAAUACAUGUAAUUAAUAUAACAUUAUUGAUAACAACAUAAAGCACAAACAGUGAAAUACAAUUUCAAUAUAGAAAAAUAUAAUGCAAUUACAUAUGUGAUGUGAGAUCCUCUUUAAGAUUCAUUCCUAAAAUAACUAAUCAUUCCUAAAAUAAAAGAUUUAUUCCUAAAGAUUCGUUCCUAAAAUGCAAUGCAAUUAAACAUUCAUUCCUAAAAUAACUAAUCAGUAAUCACUAAUCAGUAAUCAAUAAUCAAUAAUCAUGCAAUUAUCUUUUGCCUAUUAAAUAGUAUAGCUAUAUAAGGUUCUAGACUUCUAGUAUGUGAAAUAUAAAUCUUUAAGAUUUUAUCAAAGAAAAAUAUACUAGCAUUUAAAAAGAUAGAGGAAAAAAAAUACUAUUAUGCUAUUUUGUAUAAUCUUUGUAGGUUAGUGAGUAGUAACAUUAUUGGCCAAUUAAAAAAAAAGAAAAGCAAAAGUUAAACCCUAAUAAACAUCUAAACCCAUGGUAUUUAAAGGGAUUUAAAAGCCCAAUAGGGUUAAAUCUAAAAGAGAGAGAGAGAGAGAGAGAGAGAGAGAGAGAGAAAGAGAGAGAGUUGAAACUUGAAAGCUUGUGAAGUUGAAUGGGGGAGGGGGGAGGGGGGAGAGAACCUCAAGUUCCUGCAACUCUGCAAGCUGUAGCGAGGCUACGAGGAAGAUGCUGCGAGGCUGCCGCUCGCUGCAAGGAAGAUGGCCACCGCUGCUCGCUGCAAGGAAGAUGGCUGCUGCUCGCUGUGAGGAAGAUGGCCACCGCUGCUCGCUGUGAGGAAGAUGGCCACCGCUCCGAUCUUUCUCUCUCUCGGUAUUUCUCUCUCUUGCAGCAGGCGGAAUAGUCCGCUCUUUCUCUCUCGGUAUUUCUCUCUCUCGCAACAAAAGAAAAAGUGGAAUAGCUAGGGCUUUAUUUGUUUCUUAGGGUUUUGGAUGCGGGUAUUUUUAAAAAUUUUUAAAUCCGACCCGUUUAGACCUAAUAUUAUGUCUCACGUAUACUGUCCGUAUCCCGAAACGUGUCCAUCCGUAUCCCAAAACAUGUCCCGCCGUGUCCCAACGUAUCAGACCCGUAUCCGAUUUUUUUUAAUUUUUUAAAAAUUCCAGAUACUUCAAUCCCGUAUCCGAUACGUAUCGGGCUCGUAUCGUAUUCGAUACGUAUCGGAUACGAGUACGGGUUGUGAUUUGGAGUAUCUGUGCAUCAUAGCAUACUACCUAUACGAGGAGGUCAAAUGCUCUUAGGAUAGCUUAUAAUUCAGCUCCAUCCAAGGUCUUGCCUGGCUUCUUAUCUCAAUUUUCCUUUAUUAUUAUUUUGUUCAUGACAAAAUAAUUUCUGAAGUACUACUUCAUCUAUUCACUUGUGUUAAUUAAAUACUCCUUUUCUAGCCAAAUAAUACAAGCAAUCUAAAAGCACUUUGCUUGGAACUUCUAUUUGUUUUGUACAGUAAUUGAUGUAGAGCUUCUUUGUUCCUUGUAAAUUGUUACGUCUUGGCAUGGAAGUCCAACCAGCAUGGAACAGACUUGCCACACAGACAACCUCCUCUGUACGUGAAAUGUGUAAAUGUACAAACAACUUGUUAACUAUAAAUGAUCAUUGCCUGUCUACCCUUCCAAAGUUUCCUACUUCCAAUUAUCCCUUAAAAAUUCUUGUGCUAAAAUCUACGCCUCUAAAGUUUCAAAUUCAUUUAAAUUAACCCUCAAAACAGCGAUACAUAUUAAAAUAAGACAAAGUUUAGAGGGGUAUUGUCAUGCCCGGGUAUCAGCGGAAGCAUACCCGAUACAUGCACAGAUCCGCCAUAUACCUGUAGUAUACAAGGCGUCUACUAAAAUCAUAUCCGAAAAGAAACAAUCAAUAGAAGAAUCUACCUUGAUAUCAGAGCAUAGAAUGCACAGAAAGUACUAACAACUAGAGAGUAAGUGAUACAAAACUCCACUAAAAUCAACCGAAAGUAAAAACAUAAGAUUGUAUAGUAUAACACUCUAACAACAUGUGUACAACCCAAAAAAACACUAAACAGCUCAAAUACAAGUGGUAGUCUCUCUAUACAAGGGUACACAUCACCUUCGUCAACAAAAUUGAAGCGGCGAGGUGAUCACCUAGCGGGACUCCAAGCUAUGGCUAGCUAGACGCGACUCCCUUGCCGCGAUCCCUAGCCUCUCCCGUAGUGGAUGGCUCUGUAAACCAACAACAACAAAAAGGACGUGAGAACUAUUAAACAAUAGUUCCCAGUGGAUAAGCCGCGGACCUCAGCGAAUUACACCACUAGGUUUAUAAUGAACUAGAAGAAAAAUAAGUACAGCUACUACAUGAUAGAAAUAACAAUAAUAAUAAACAAUUAUCAUGUAACUAUAAUCUCAAAUGUAACAACUAACUUGUAGCAAGUAAAGUAACUAUACAUAAUUAACAUGUCAUAUCAUCUUGUAAAUGCACACUGUCUCGUAGUGACCAUUCUAUGAAUACAAUUUAGUAGCUUUGUUUAAUUCUUAAGGACCUACACAAGGUAGUUCGGCUUGUGCUGCGCCUAAUGGCCCCGUGGUAGUAUACAUUUUCCACGGCAAUUCACUUCAGCACCCAAUCCCACAUGGGCGAGCAAUCUGUCGCGUAGGCCAACUCCGGAGUGCCGGUGUAAGGUACCGGACUUCUAACUUAUGAAGUUACGGCGUAUAUUAGUUUAGAGAGCCAUUGGAGUGGUUCCGGCGAAGUUCGGUGAAGUUCGGGAGCAUUCGGGCGUUUCAGUGCGCGUGGGCGCGAAAACGGAACCCGAAAGGCUAUGUUGGACUAUGAACUAAAUCCGACAUUAGCGUGGAUGAAAUGAUGAUGUAAAUACGCUCGAAAACAUGUUUGGAGGGUCUUAGCUCGAUUUGAAAUGAAUCGGAGACCAAACGAGCAAAAACGAGCGAAAACGGACGAAAGCUGAAAUUUGGCUAAGUCUGGGCUGGAGGACUUACGAGGUCCGGUCCCUUAGCCAAGGAUCGGUCCCUCAAGGUCCGGUCCCUCAUGCAAGGAUCGGUCCUCGUAGCCCGAAAAUGCCCAGUUCGGGCUGUUGCAAGAGAGGCAUUGUUGAGGUGGUUUCCAGCAAUUUUGCACUUAUGAGAGGGUAUAGAACAAGGGCUUUCUCUCUCUCCCUCAUUUCUUGUGUUCCAACCUAAAAGAACACUCCCUCUCUCUCUCUAAACUCUUUCUCUCUCUCAAAGAGGAUGGAUCUUAGAGGAGGGGAAGAAGGAGAAGGAGGCUAGGAAGAAGAAUCUUCUUCCUCUCAUCUUCUUCCUCACCAUUGGAGGAGUUGAUUGAGGUAAGCUUUGAUGCUUAACAAUGGUAGAUCUCUAGGGUGUCGAUUUUAAGCUCUAGAUUUGGUUUCGUAGGAACCCUAACAUGCUAAUGAGAUGUUUAUUGCUUGAAUCCAAGGUUUAUAUAGUGUAUUAUUGCAAUAGAUGAAAUCUAGGGUUCAAAUGGGGGUUUUGUAAAGUAUAGCUGUUUGAUCUAAAUUAAUCUUAUAAAAACCUAAUUGCUAGGUACACGAACGCGUUGGCGAAGUCGGUUCGGCGAUUCGUCGAGCCUACGCGAAGUUAUAGGGAAAACGGACCGUUAGAGCUUCGUUUCCGCCUGGAAAGCCGAGGCGACGUCCAAAAAUUACGAGAACGGAUCUGGAGCACCGUGGGGGCUAGCUGUAGACCUUAAAUCUCCGGAUUGCGGAUUGGUGGUGGUUCGGUGACCGAGUGCGAGUUCGAGCCGAACCAGGCGGCGGGUGCCGCGGGCGGCCGAUUGCAAGUGACUACAAGCAAUCGGAACGCGAUAAUAGGUGGGUUGUGCUUACCGAAGCGACUAGGUCGCCUACAUGUCAAAGUGGACUAUGAGUUCUUGUUGACGCAUAUGUAUGGGCAUGAUGGCAUUGUAGAGCAUGCUAGAGCAAAUAAAUAGAAAUGUAUGCAUGUAAACCUAAUUACUUGGUUUAGAGACUUAUGCUAGUUGAUAAUGGCAUGUUGAUGCAUUGAAAAUAUAUGCUAGUUCUAGUUUCAUGUUGAUGUGCAAGAGCAUAUAAGUGAAUGAUAACAUGUUGUAGAUCAUGUUAGAAAGAACAUAUAUGAUGACAUUGUAAGGAUGUGCAUGAGAAUAUGUACCUAUUGUAAGGAAGUGAAUUCUCGAAACUCGAGGAUUAGACUUCGACCAGAAUCGACUAGUUGUCGUGUGCGUAGGCUUCGGAAAGUCCGAAGGUGUUUAUAAUGCGUAAAGUGCAUUAAGGAAGGGUCCGCGAGAGCACCAGUGCAAAACUUGCACUGGAGCAGAAAUGCUCUCGGGGACCGGUCCCUGGCAGGGAGGGACCGGUCCCAUCAGGCUGGGUUGUGGAGGUCUCUGAUGAGACCGGUCCCUGGUGGGCAGGGACCGGUUCCCGAACGUUGGCCUGGCGAGACUUAGCCAAAUUUGGCUAAGUCCCGAGAAUGCAGCUCUCGGGAACCGGUCUCUCGGACAAGGACCGGUCUCCCGGGGACCGGUCUCUCAGGCAAGGACCGGUUCCCGAACGCGAAAAUCCCUCUGCUCGAAAUGGCAGCCUUCGGGGACCGGUCCCAAGUCGGGGAGACCGGUCCCUCACUGCGAAAAUGCCCAAUGAGGGCUGAUUCUAAAGAUGAAAAGUUGAGGGGGCUAGUUGCAAAAUGGCCUUUAAUAGGGCUUGGGGAUCUCUCUCUCACCCUCAGUUGCUCUCUCUCUCUCUCUCACUCUUUCCCUUUCUCUCUCUAGGAAAGAAAAGAAAAGAAAGAGAAGAAGGAGAAGAAGAAGAAGAGGAAGGAGAAGAAGGGAAGAAAGAAGAAGAAAGAGAAGGAGAAGACUAAGAAGAAGAAGAAGAAGACAUCUUCUUCUCUCCCUCUCCCUCAAGCUUGAAGGAGUCUUGAAGAGAGGUAAACUCCAAAUCCCUUUAAUGGUAUUUCUAGGGUUUGGGGGUUUUAGGGUUUAGAAUUGGUUCAAAUGGAACCUAUUAGGGAUAAAUGGAAGGUUCGAGCUCGCAAUUGAAGCUCGCACCGUGGAUUUCCUUCCCGUUGCCAUUUUAGGGCACGGAUUGGGGUUUUGGGAAAUCUAGGGUUUUGAUCUAAUUUGUUGGGUCGCUAACCUAAUUGCUAGGUCUUUGAACGCGUCGGCGAAGACGGUUUGCCGAUCCGACGAGCGGGUGCGGAGUUAUCGCCGAAUCGGGUACUCGAGGGCUCGCUUUGCCCCGAGGAGUUUAGGCGGCGUGCAAGAACCGCAACGUCGAGCUUUCUAUUAUCGCGGCAUCGCCAAGAGGUGGGUGGUGUCCAUCCCGAAGCAAUCGGGCUCCCUUCUAUGUCUUAGUACAUGUCGAUUCUGCAUCUUGUAUUAUUGCAUUAUAGGAUUAUCAUGCAUUGCCUUUCCUUAUGCCAUCCUUGAUGAUAUCGUAGCGUACAUUGGAUAUUUGAUAUAUUGGAUUGAUAAGGAUUGGGUCUAGAUUGUGAAUCCUAUAAUGUAAAGGAAAUGAUGAACUAUGAAUGAGUGGCAUCUAGUCAAUAGUAAACCAUGAACGAGUGGCAUCUAGUCGAUAGCGAACAAACGGACAAUCUAGUUAAUAGUGUAUGUGACACCUAUGGACUAUAUGAUGAUUGUGACUCUAGAGGACAGGGUAUCCUCGAGCUUAGAGGAUUGGAUCAUGCUCACGGUCUGUUAAAUCUUGUGAUGGAAGCCCCACACAAGUAGUGCGCUCCGGAUGUUGGUCACGCCAGGGAUUGCCUAUAUGGCCCCGCCAGACGGUCUCGGGUCCGUAGUGUGAGUUGAUUCUCCCUACGUGUCGAGAUGGCUAGUGAGCUGUAGGCGAGCCUUCGGGUAAGCCAUGAGAUUAAUGGACAAGUAAAUAGCUUUGCCUUUGGACAUGAUGAUGGGUUAGUCGUUUAUCUAUUCCCUUGUACAUGCAUUCAUAUAUUAUGAUUGGGCAUAGUAGCGUAGCUUCAUUUCCGUCAUUUACAGCUUUCCUUAUCUAUCUAUCUAUCCAUCUAUUGGUAUAUCUACUUGUGCCCGCUUGGACCUAGUGGGGAGAUCGGCGGAGUCGGCGGCCGAACCCACUGGGAACUAAGGAAGUUAGUUCUCACCCCCAUUUUACUACAGGUUCCAGUUCGGGUGUCCCCGGUGAGCGUGAGGAUCGCGGUAAGGGCCCGGCGCUUUAGUAGCAUUAGCUACCUUCCUUUUUGCACUAGCCGUCACCCUUUUGUACUUGAGAGUAGAUGAUGUAUAGGGUGAGGUGGAGUGAUUGUAUUUAUAUUUUGGAAGAAUGUAAAAGAUGUAAUUGAAUGAGUUAAGUCAAAUGAAUGUAAUAGAUAGCUCUUCUCUCUUGAUGUACUUGUAUAUGUUUUUAUACUGGUAUCUUGCUCUUGUUUGUCGCACUGGUGGUGCUUCUUGAUCGUGUAUUUAUGAAUUGAAUUCCUGGGUAAAUUCUUAUACAUGAUCUGUUGGUUGCCUUGGGCGGACAGGGGAGGUCCUGUCCGUUCGGCGUCUGUUCGACGCGCCCGGGCCGGACCAAAUUGGUAGCGGUCUCGGGGCGUGACACCUAUAAACCUUGAUGUGGACAAUUAGGAUGUCGAAUAGGUCGAGUGGCAUCGAACCUAGUGUUAUUAAAUAUAGGUCGGAUAUGAACCUAGUGUCGUGAACCUAGGAUGGAUAAGAAUGACAUAGAAUCUAGUGUUAUGGAACAUAGGUUGAGAUUGAACCUAGAGUUGAGUAAACCUAGGUUAUGUGAUAGAGGCAUUGAACCUAGAGUCAAUUAGACCUAGGGUGGAAAGUGCAUUAGACCUAGAUAGGUCGAUAUUGUUGGGUUUGAGACUACCCUAGAGACUUGGAAAGUGGAUUCCGGAAUCCUAGGAUUGUGAACUCGAUAGUUCUAGAGCAGUGGGUUGUGUGUGGCAGGUUCCCCUCCUACUGGACGAACUUCGAGGAUGAGUUGUUGAUUGAUUCGAGGCUGCGGGUUAUGUGUGGCAGGUUCCCCUCCCGCCGGCAGAAUCGUGCUUCGCUAGGGUGUGUGUGGCAUGUUUCCCUUCCCUAUCGGGGGUUUUGGGCUGCGGGUUGAGUGUGGCAUGUUCCUCUCCGACCGGAAAGAUCCCUGACCACGGGUGUACGCAGCUCUGGGCAACCCAUCGGCGACUUGGAUUGUGGAUUGAAGGCUGAGGUGUAUGUGAGGGUUCCUUCACCUCGAGCCGGACAGAGCGCGGAUUAUCCGCAGUUGAUUGACUCGAGGCCGAGUCGGGUGGCUAGCUUGAAUAAGGUAGAUGGAACUUUAGGGGCUUGUGGUAAUGUAAUGGAUCUAAGGUAAUAGAAACCUUAGAGGUUAGUUGGAUCUGAGCGAGAUAGCAAGAUAGAAGUAGAAUCGAGUGAUCUACUUGAGAUGUUGCAUUGUAUUCUUGCAUGAUUGCAUAUAGCAUAGUAUUGUUGCAUUUAUGAGGCAAAGCAUGUAUAUGUUAGUUGCAUAAUCAAAGUAUAUAUAUCUAUCUGUUUAUUGAACUAACCUGUUGUUGCCUCCUUUGGACCUGUUGGUCGAGCUUUUCCCUUGGGGGCCGUACCUAAUGGGAACCAUGGAGUUGGUUCUCACCCCACGUUGCUUUGGGGUGUUAUAGGUUCGUACGUGAGCGGCGCGGCGGCGCGAGGAAAGGGCGUAGCUCCGUAGGUAGCGCCCUACCUCAGAGACCAGAGAUAGAAGUAUCCCGAGUCGGCAUAUCCUAGGGGUAUAGAGAUGAAAAGAACAAAUGUAUCAAUUUUGUAAUAAGUAAAUGUUGUAAUAACUCAGAUUGUAUGUUGGAAGAAAAAUGUAAUUGUGAUGAAAAAUGCAUCUAAUGUGAAUGCUUGUAAUAGCUAGUUGUUUAUGUUUUUGAUACUUCCUUAUGCAAUCUGUAUGUUGAAUACUGUUCUUGGUGGGAACCUUUGUAUUGUAUUGAUUGCGACGCCUAGGACGUACAGGGGAAACUCUGUCCGUUCGGCGGUCUGUCGGCGUGCCUGAACCCGAUGGCGUGACAGCCGGCUUGUGGGGAGCGACCCUUACAAGCAUGUGCGAAUGAGCACAAUGGCAAGCAAACAUGAUCCAUAAUACCAGUUCCUCGGUCGUCAUAUCUCAAACACGGAAUGUCCUCUACUGACCUAUAGGUCGGGAUCUAAAUACGAUAACAAAUGCUAGUAGCAUGAAGUACAUGGUAGUUUCAUUAGUAGGAUGUCAAGUUUAACUUGUUUACCCAAGUAUAUUAAUCACAUUCUAAUACAUGUUUCAUAUGUUCUAUACAUAUGCAACAACCAUUAGAAUACACAGCAAUAUGUCAUUCUUGCUAAUUUAAGCAUAGUAUAUUUACUCGCGACUUGUCUACACAAUGAUAUGUGUUAUCAUGCAAGGAAUUUAACCUUUAUAGCUCUCUACCAAAUAGAGUAUAAACAGUAAUAUGAUGUAAAUGCAAUUAGUACAUCCCACAACUCGCUUAUGACGCCAUUAGCGACACAUAUGCAUAAUUCUAAAACUAUGCCAAGAGAUAAGAACAUAGGGGAAAGUCACCCAUUUCGGUGAGGUCAAACCCACCAAUCAGUUGACGAGUCUUAACGAUCACGUUAGCGAAGGUUUCGCUGAUCUCCAAGCGCCCUAGUAAGCAUUUUAAAGUCAGCAAAGAACUCAAUCCAAUACUCCACGUCAUUACUCAAAUAAACAUCUCAAUUAGGUCGAAUUAUACCUAAUAUGAAAUCCAAUCUCGAACUCCACUUGAAAUCGGGUUAGAAUACACCAAUUCUAACCUCUCGAAGAUUACAAACUUCAACUUAAAGUAAUCAAACUCCCUGCAGCAAACCUGCUGCGAGUAAGCAUAAAAACUGCAUUAAAGCUACCACUAGAACAUCCAAUUUCGGCAAGAUUCUCACCUAGGUUCAGACCAGAGUUAAACCUCCACUCCCACUUAGGUUGGAGCAACCCAAACCAGCUCUUAAUCACCACUAUUUUCAGCUCAAAGUGGAUAUGCAAGCUGCUGAGGACAUAAACCCGAAAUCAGCAUCACUACUACAUCAACAUAAGGCAAUAGUUAGCUAAUUACCUUCUGAAAACUUUAAUCCAGCUCUUCCCCUGAAUUUGAGUUGAAGAACCACUAUAAAACUCUACUUCUACAGCUGCUAAAACCUCUCUCAAUCAGCUGUCAUCGAAAGCAAGAAACACACUUAACCUCACUACUGUAGCUUCAACUAUGGAAAGAUUAGAGUAUAUACCUUUCAACAGCUCCCCUCAGCAAAUCCCUGUAUUAGGGUUGAAGAAAUACUGCCAAGACCCUCUUUCUACUCUGCAGGAGCUGCUCUACACCUUCCCAACCCAGCAAGCAUCAAGAAAAAGAUGAAAUCAAGCUCAAAUCCUUGAUUUCUACUUAGAGAGAGAGAAAACCUAGAGAGAGAAAGUGAAAAUAGUGCAAACCCUCACCUCUGAACUCCAGCAACCUUUGGUCAGCUGCUGGGGUCGUACUAAGGGGUUAUAGAUAAGUUUGGGAGGUGAAAAGACCAAAAUGGCCUGGCUGCCACGCAGCUGGUGCUGCUGGUGCUGCUGGUACCAGUACCCCAACACACUGGUACCGGUACCUAGUGCAAGAUGCUGAAAGUGCAUUUUACAAUGCACUUUUGCGCUACCGGCCGUUUGAUCGCUCCACUAACUUACCAAAACCUCUCUACAACCCUUUAAAAGACGUGGAAUGGUUCCAAUUACCAUCCCCACACUCGAACUUCGUAAUUUGCCAAAGUUCAGUGUACUACAGGUAUAUUUGAAACAGAGGGUAAAUAUGAAACUUAGUAACUUAGGUACUUAGGAUAUUAUCUAUAACUAUUGACAUAGGGUUAUUGACAUAUUAGUGUUAUUAUAAUAUAUGAAUUUGGCAAGCCUAACUUGAACAUGACUACAAAUUAAAAUUAGUUUCCACAAGCUUUAUGUUCAUAUUUAAAUACAUAUUCCUUUCAAGUACAUAUACAAGUUUUCAUUUUCCUUCUACAUGUUUUCCUUUGAAUUUACAUCCAAAAUGUCACUCUAUACAAAAUAGGCAUGAACUAUCUAACUCGACAUUUCUCACUACGUAAUGCUCCCAAACCCACAUAUGGUUGUACUUGAGUAACAUAGCCUGCAAGAGGUGAGAAACUAAACAAAGUUUUCUAAUGGGUACAGCAAGAUGAAAUAGGGCUAGCUGUACAAUUAGUCUAAAGGAGGGCAACAAAACAGUAGAUGUAUAAAGAAAUGAGAAAAAAUAAAUAUGCUACAUAAAAUCUAUAAAAAAGAAAGAGUAAGAUUCUUACAAUGAAUGAAGAUAAUGCAUCAAAUUCUUUUCUAUUUUACAUAUUGUCCUUUUCGGCCAAUCCAGGGUUUGUCCUUUUGGAUCGUGUGUGCACUUCCAUUAUUUUUCACGUUUUUCAGUAGUCAAUUGGGGGAGCGUUUGCACCCUUGUUCCGUUGCGCAUCGGUUAGCUGGGAGGUAAACCCCCGAAAGUCAAUAUUACUUCUCUCUAGAGUGCACCUACCACAAUAUUGCAAUCCUUGAACGGAGCUGUUUUAGCGUGCAAGAAAUUUAGCAGCAAAUCACAUGUGCAUGAUCAAUGAUGUCUACUGGUGCUGAUUGUAAUCUUAAAUUUCGACACAGUUAACUGUUUUCAAGAAGUAAAUUAUCAUAAACAAAUUGACUACUUUUAUUUCAAUAAACAUAGCAUACUUACCAGGGAAUAAACAUCCAUAUGCCUUUAGAACUUGAUAAAUAGAGACAUUCAACAAUGGGCUUAUUCAAGAUAUUCAAAGAGGAACAUGCAAGCUAUUUUCAACAAAGAAUGCAAGUAAAUUUAAGCAUUAGGAUUCAAAUAAUUUAUCAUCAUGAAUAAAAUGUAUGUUUACUUUCAGCGACAUAGCAUGCUUACUAGAUAUACGACCAUAUGCCUUUAGAAUAUGAUAAAGGUAGGUGAAACCGGCAUUAGGCAUAUUUAAAACCUGCAAUGCAGAUUAUGGAUAUUAUUUUAAACAACAAAUCUAAUUGAGUUUAAACAGUUUGUGAAAGAAUCUAGACUAGGGCAAGCUAAGCCUCUUUCCAAGCACCUACCUUUACAAGCGAAGAAGCCUCCAAAGCCGCCUUGCUUCAGAAUAGGGUUUGACUUCUCCAAUACUGCCAAAUCUGUAACCAAAACAAAUUUUUAGGUUAUAUUUUUGUUAAAUUUUGCUAGCUGUAACCAUAUUAAUAUAUAGAUGUUAUUUACAACGAAAAUCCCUAAAUUGCUCAUUUUAGGGAACAAAUUUGAAGAUUCAAGAUUGUUUUCUCAAUAUCUAGAUGAGCAAAUUUCUACUAAAAUAUUCUUAGACCAGCUUCUUACUAUAUGCUAAAACAAGGAAUUAAGCAUAUAAAUCCAAUUCUCAUGAUCUAAAACAAAACCCUAAGCUUGCAUUCAUGACUAUUCAUAUUUUGGAAACAUCAUGAAAUCCAUUUCAAUUAACCAUUUAGACUUAAAGCAUCAAAUUAUCAACUAAACAAACCCAUAAAAAUCAAAAUUUCUCAAUCCAUCAAGAUUCUUACAUCUAGUGUGGUAAUUUAGGGUUUUCUAACCUUUUUAAUCCAAAUUAGUUGGAUAAUCCAAGUUGGGUUAAGCUUUUAGCAAGAUUUUUCUAUAAAUUUUACUAUGACUUUUACCUUAAUUGCAAGUGGGAUAGAGGGGGAAAUGGAGGACAUAGGGGAAGAAGAAUGAGAGAGAGAAAGAGUCGGCUGGAGAAGAAGAAAGGGUCAGAGAAAGGGAUAAGGAUUGGCCAUUUUGGGUAAGCCCUCUGAACCUUUCAAAAUUUACAAUAAUCUAAUUUAAAUUUGUGGACUUAUUUGGAUAUGUAGGGCUUUUCAGAUGGUUGAUAAGCUGAAAUUUGCUAUUUGUGCUCAACUAAAAAUUAAGAGUGAUAAUUUUAAUUAUUUAUUAAGUUUCCGAGCAAAAGUCAUAUGGGCCGUAUUCAGAUCCUGAAUUAACCACUUAGGUAUUAGAAAAACACGAAACUUUCUGAUCAAUCUGAAAAUAGGGUUAUCAUUAAAACGAUACAUUUUCUAUGAUGUUUUGAAGCAGUUCAAGCCGUUAAAUAGUUAAAUUGUUCUCAACUCAAUAACCUAAGUUGGUUUAUUUCAUUUUUUAUCAUCGCCCUGAUUUAGUCCAUAAUUGGAUUUAGGAUGCUUUUGAACGCCUAGCUCAUGCUGAUUUCACAUUUGACAUAUUCAAAUUCUAUUUUGUUUUAUUUUAUUCAAAUUAGGUGUAGUAAAUAAAUAGUUCAAAUAACUUACGAAUCUAUGGCUGAAUAAGAACUUGGUGUUUUCUUUCGCCUAAAUAAAAUAUUAGCUAUCUUGCCCAUUUGUUAGUAGAUUCAUGUGCUUGAAUACAAACUAAAGAAUCUAUUAUUUGGGAAGAAAACUUAUAGUGAUUAUUUAUCUUUUCCUUAAUCUAGUGUUAUUCAAAUUAUUAAUAUAAACAGACAGACUAUGAGACUUUGAAGAUCAUCAACAAUCCUAAACAUGCGAGCUCCCAUCCUCUGGCAUAUUGCCAUGAUGAUUAUUAAUGCUAGUGUUGCACAACAGCUCUGCAGCGUGGUCGACUUGUUGCCUCAUCGACGUAUUCUCAUUUUGAAGGCGUCCAACUUCGUUGAGUGCAUUACUGUAACAUUCUUUUAGGAAAUAGUAGUCGAACUAGAGUUGGUUGUGGUUGCUACAUAACUGUUCGUACAAAGCUUUAUAAACCUUUAAGUCAUCAUAGUUGAUAUCGGCAACAUCAAAAUUAAGUGCUUUCUUCUAGCAUAUAAUUGCUUGAUGAGCGGCUUUUUGCUCUGCUAACUCAGCAGUAAUACAUUUUUGACCAAACCACUUAAAAACCUCUUCAGUUCCAUCAAGAUUUGCAAUUUUUAUUUCAACACAUCCCACAUACAAUUCAUCAGCACCGAAUAUUGCACCAUAAUUAGGAAGAGGAAGGUGAAGAACCUCUAGUAUCUUGAUGAGCAAUUGCUUAUAUGAUACUGGUAGUGUCGCCAUUGUCCUUUAAACUUUAAAAAACGAAAUGAAGAAGACGAGAAAGCCACAUUUAAGUUAAGGCAUAGAAUUACCAAAUGCAAAAUAAUUAAUAUAUGACAAAGAUUCAGACUUGUGUUUUGAAUCAAGAAUAUUUAAUGCAUUAAAUUUUUUAAUUUUGAGCCUCCAAUGCUAUCCCCUAGAGAACGAAAAAUUUUGUACCAUCUUUGCAUGCAUUUUUCAAUAUUCUUAGAUCAAAAAAUAAAGAAUUGAGACAUAUCUAUAAUAUGUACGCCGUAAAUAAAUACAUAAGACACCUAAAAGCACCAAGAUCUCCUUCAAACAAAUAAGCCAUUUAUUUACUUUAUUGUAAAUUCUGUUACCAUUUCAUAGGGAAUUGUUGAAAUGUAAACAGCAUAGUAAGUUAAAGAAACUUAGUAUGAAAUUUUGAUAAUUGAUCUUUUAGUUAAUUAAAAUAAAGAAGCCCAAAGGAUGUAAUUAAUUAACUACACUAUUAAUUUUUUUUAUCCAGGUAAGUCAGUUAAAAACCUAUAUAUAUACACCCCCAAAAAAGGUAGGAACUGGAAAAAAAGAAAAAGAACAACGAAAAUCCUAAUUCCAAAUACAUUAAACUGCUGGACAUUUUUCCCCACAUUAAACAUACCUUGUUCAAAAUAGUAAGGCAUUUUCUUAUCGUUUUAGACAAAGGCAUCGGAAUAUAAACAUAGAGCAAGUACAUAAAACUUUGGACAAAAUGGAAUUUUCGUAACCAAUUACUAAUUUAUUUUAAUUAAGGGAGUAAUGAAAAAUAAAAUGCAUCUAACAUAAAGAGACGAAAAGGCUGUAAUUAAUUAGUUGUGUUUUAAAAAUUUAUCUACGAAGUCAGCGAAAUUUUAAGAAAGAUUAAAUUAAGGAAACUUUGCACAAAAUUUUGAUAACUGAUCAUUAAUUUAUUUUAAUUAAGUGAGUCAGGAAAGAAGAAACCAAAAGAAUAUAAUUAAUUAGUUACACAUUUAUUUAGUUUUUUUAUUUAUCUAAGUUUAUCGUUCUAGUAUAGAAAGAAACAUAUUUGUUUAGCCUAAAAUAUUAAUUUAUGUAUUUUUAUACCAACAAGAAGUAUACUCUAUGAGAGUAUACAUCAACAUAGUUUUACCUUACCUUACGAAAGUAGAAGAUAUGGACCCCAAAUUAUUCUACAAAAAUACAUGGAUAUGACUGUCUGGAUCUUACAUCAUCUUGGAUCCUCCUCACAAAAUUAGGAGAUAGAGCCAAGGAAAAUUAUUCCUCCUUCCUAAAGGAAAUGGGCCCCAAUAACUCUAGUAGAAGUUGUAAGUGUAUAUAUAUAACAAAUUGGAGAAUAUUCUAUUAUGGUUGAUGUUGAAGGACAAGCAGGUGGAGACAAAGCUAAAGGUUCAUGCACCCUGUGUUUGAUGUUAAACAACAUUGCUAUAUAUAGAAAAACUUGGGGAGGAUGCAUGCGUCGGAAUGAUAAGAAAGAAAGGAAAAGGAAAACGAAUAUUCUAUAUACUAUGGGAAAUCUUGUAAGAGAAAAGUUUAUCUUGUGGAAAAUUAUAGUUCGGUCCUCAAUUGUUUGUUUUGUGGCAUUUUGGUUUAGGUAGGCUUGAAUUUCCAAACCAGUAGCACAUUAAUGAAUUAAGUAAACUAAAUAUUCCAUUGUUAGUGGUUAAGUAACUUAUUUUUCUGGGUCAAUUUAAUAAUUUCUAAGCUUUCAUGAUUUCUAGGUCGGUUCUGCUGAAUUAUUGGAAUGAAUUCUGACAACCCAAUUUAGUUGCGUAAAUAUAAAUAUUUUCGAAAUAUGAAAGUAAUGUGGUAGUAUUACAAUUAGCCAAUUAAAAUUAGCUAAUCCAAUUUAGUUAGAUAAAUAUUGGGCCCAAAAUUAAGUUACUUAACUCACACCACAGCAAAUUUUCUUAGACUUGAAAGAUGAAAUGUGGUAAAUAUAUGUUGCUAAAUUACACUGCAAGGCCUUAAAUUAGAAAUUUCGAUAACAAUUCACUGAUCAAAUUUUAAUCUACCAUAUUUCCUAGGUUGGUUUUGUAAACUAUUAUAACAUAGCAGAUAACUACUUAAGGCAUACAAUCGUAGACAGUUGUGUAAUUAUUAAUAUUUUAUGAAAAAAUAUAAAAGUGAUGCAAAUCGCUUGUACCUUUUAUCUUUUCUACCCAAAAUUUGAAUUCCAUUGUAUGCUUAAUUACUGAAGCUGUUUGGUUAAAUUGUGAAUUAUUAGCGAUGAUAUUAUUAGUUCAAAAAAAUCGAGUUUAUCUUUGAGUCUGAGUGCAGUGCAAGCACAAAGACAAUGUUUUUUUUUUUAUUUAUCUAGUCAAGUUAGCAGUUCUGAGCAUGUAUCAUUGUUGGUUCUUGAAGUCUAAGUUUAUCUUCGAAUUCAAACCCGCACGGUUACUGCAAACAUGACAUCCAAUUUCCAUCCCAACUGUGCCGAUCUACAGGUUUUUUUUCAGAUGAGAUCACUCUACAAUUCACUGCACAAAUUCAAUUGGAUGCACUUCUAAUCUUCCCAACUAUAUAAACUACUUCUUUAGGUCUUGCAGGAAGAAGCAAGGAAAUGUUUUUUUGAGAUGUUAAUUAUUCUAAAAGAUUAAAAGCUCUAAAAAUCAAAGAAACUAAAGAGAAAAAAAGGAAAAUUUUUUUGAGAUGUCAAUUGUGCUAAAAGAUUAAAAGCUUUAAAAAAUAAAGAAACUACAGAAAGGUUCUAAAGCUCAAACAAAAGUUAGAAAAAAAAAAAAACUACGGCAGCCCCAAGUCGUUCCCUCUGCGCCUUUCGGCGCCGCUUUCUUCACCAAAUGAAAACAAAUUUACAUAACAAUUUUGCCGAAAAUGUCACGCCCGGGUAUCAGCGGAAGCCUAUACAUGCACAGACCCGCCAUAUUCCUGAAGUAUAUAAGGCGUCUACCAAAACCAUGCUAGAAAAGUAACAUUCAACAUAAGUAUCUAACAUGGUAUCAGAGCAUAGAAUGUACAAAAUGUACUAGAAGUACUAAAAGCAAGAGUAUAACAUAUACAAUAUCUACUAAGGACACUAGAAAGCAAGAGCUGAAAACUAUGAAUACAACUCUCCAACAACCACAUACAUCACACAAUCACAAAACAACUAUAUAUACACAUAUGGUAGUCUUUAUACACGGGUAAAACAUCAUCCUCGUCAGCACAACCCAAAAUAGCGAGGUAAUCACCUAGCGGGACUCCAAGCUAUGCCUAGCUAGACGCGACUCCCUUGCCGCGAUUCCUAGCCUCUUCCGCAGUGGAUGGCUCUGUAAAUAAAACAACAAUAAAGAGGGUGUGAGAACUAUUAGUCAAUAGUUCCCAGUGGGUAAGCCGCCAACCUCAGCGAAUUACACCACUAGGUUCACGAUGUAUAAAGAGAAAGCAAGUACAACUACAACAUGAUAAGAAUAACAAUGAUAAUAAGCAACUAAUGAGUAGUAGAACUACUAUGUUUCCAAUGCAACAACAAUGAUGCAACAAGUAACUACUCUACACAAGUAAGCAUGCUAUAUCGUCUCAUAAAUACACACUAUCUAGUAGUGACCAUUAUAUCAAUACAAUUUAGUAUCUUUGUUCAAUUCAUAAGGACCUACACAAGGUAGUCCAGCUUGCGUCCCGCCUAAUGGCCUCGUGGUAGUAUACACUCCCCACGACAAUCCACUUCAGCACCGAAUCCCGCACAGGCGAGCACAAUGUCGUGUAGGCCAACUCCGGAGUGCUGGCUUGUGGAGAGCGACCCUCACAAGCAUGUGCGAAUGAGCACAAUGGCAAGCAAGCAUGAUCCAUAAUGUAAGGUUCUCAAUCGUCAUGUCUCAAACAUGGAAUGUCCUUUACCGACCUAUAGGUCGGGAUCUAAGUACAAUAUCAGGUGCUAGUUAUCAACUAUAUCAUAGCUAGUAACAUAAAAUUCAUGCUAGUUUUAUCAAUUAGAUGCCUAGUUUAACUUGUCUACACAAGUAUGUUAACCACUUUCUAAUACAUGUUUCAUAUGUUCAAUGCAUAUACAAUACCCACUAGGUUAUAAUAACAACAUAUCAUUCUUGCUAGUCUAAGUAUAGUGUAUUCAUUGGCAACUUGCCUACACAAGUAUAUGCGUCAUCAUGCAUGGAAUUUAACCUCUUUAGCUCUCUACCAUAUAGAGUAUAACCUGCCAUAUGAUGUAAAUAUUACUAGUACAUCCAACAAUUCACUUAUGAUGCCGUUAGCGAAACAUAUGCAUAAUUCUAGCUCUACGCCAAGAAUAAGAACAUAGGGGGAAUUCACCCAUUUCGGUGAGGUCAAACCCACCAAAUCGCUGUCGACUCUUGUCGAUCUCGCGAGCGAAGGUGUUCGCUAGUCUCCAAGCAUCCAAACAAGCAUACUAAAUCAGCUAGGAGCUUCAACCAAGCUUCACAUAAGAAUCUCACAUAAUCACUCCACUUAGGUAGAAUUUUACCUAGUAUAAAAUACCAAACUUGAACUCCACUUCAAUUCAGGUUGGAGCACAUCAAAACCAACCUACAAGAGUCACUAAAACUCAGCCAAAGUGGUUCCAAUAAUCUGCUGUGAGCUAACAUCAAAAACACCACUACUUCUAUCACCAAUACAACUACUAUAGCAUCAAACUAGAGAGAGAAGUUAGUUAAUCACCUUCCAAAGCUCCAACUCAGUUCCUACUGAGUUAGGGUUGAAGAAACACAGCAAAACAACUCUUCCCACACUUCAAAAGUUGCUCCACAAGUCUCCAAACCAGCUAGCAACAAGUGAGGGGAAGAAAACAAGCUCAAAUCACUAGUUUCCACUUCAAAAAUGGAAAAACCCUAGAGAGAGAAAGAGGAAGGCUCUUACCCUGUUUCUCCAACUCAAACAUGAUGAACCAGCUGGGGGGGUCGACCAGGGGCUUAAAAGGAUAAGCCUUGAAGUGAAAUUACCAAAAAGAUCUUAAUCCACGCAGCUGCUGCAUUGGGUACCGGUACUCGGGCCAAGGGGUACCGGUACUCAGUACAAAAACCAGCAUUUCGCAUUUUAAUGCUAAUUCACUUCUCCGGCCACUUAAUCACUCAGGUGACAUGCCGAAAACCUCUCAAUAACCCUUCAUAAGAUCUAGAAUAGUUCCACUUACUAUUCUAAUACUAGAACUUCGCAAUUUGCUAAAGUUCAGUGUACUACAGAAAAAAGUAAAAUUAAACUAGGCACUAAAUGUGAAAACAGGAAAACAACUUAAAAUAAUUUUUCGAAAAUGGAGCAAAAUAUUGUAAGCAAAUCAAUCCUCUCCCUUUCUUGACCCCCUAUUUACUAAUUCUCUUCCCUUUUUUUUUUUUUUUUCCUUCCAACUACUUUGUGCGUGUGUCCGAGAUGAGAUCAAAAAAAAUUGUAGACAGAGAGAGGGGAGAGAUAGGGAGCCAUGAAAGCUUUGAUGGGUAGAGAUGGGUUAGGAAAAAUUGUUGAGAGAGAGGGGAGAGAGAGAGAGGUGAGAGUUUUAGUUGGAGAGAGAGGUGUCAAAGGGGCACAUACAUCCCCUGUGGACAUAGAGCCUAUGUGAGGCUAUUCGAAAGGGAGAUAGAGACAAUGUAUGUGUGUGUGUGAGAGAGAGAAAAUUAAUACACCCACAGGAACUCAUAUGAAACAAAGACGCCGUAGCUCAACCAAGGAACGCCACAUAAUAUAUUAACAAUAACUAAAACUUCAGAUUUUAUAAAUAGACGACUUGACCUAACGACGGAAUGCUUCUAUUUUUUUGAUGAAUUUUCUUCAUCAAAUCAAAACAACUGCAGCAAAAAGAUUCAUAAAAAAAACUGAAAUUUAAGUAGACCGGCAAUGUUCAAGCAGCGUAAAUAUAUUAACAGUAAUUAAAACUUCAGAUUUUAUAAAACGGGCGACGUGACUUAAUGACAGAACGUCGUUUUUUUGAUGAUUUUUUUUGGCUAAAUUACAGAAAACCCCCCGUCAAAACCCGAUUUUUCACUUUCCCCCCCUGUCAUUUAAAAACCUACACAUUGCCCUUUUGUAAAAUGAAAAAUGUGCACUUCACCCCCUACCGUUAGGGUUCCGUUAUAAAAUAUUUUUUUAUGCCAAAAAUACCCAUCCGCCCUCUUCCAUGUUGCUUCGCCUGCCUCCUGCUCGCCGCCUCGCCCUCGCCCACAUCGCCUUCGCCGUCCUCGGCCGCCUCGCCUUCGCCGUCCUCCGCCGCUUCGCCUUCGCCCUCGUUGCCCUUGCCUAACUCUCUAUCAACGCCCACCUCGAUUUCCUCCCUACUGUCGCCGAAAUCGAGGGGCGGCGAAGGUGCAGGAGGAGAAGGGGGGUAGGUGGAGAAAAAAAUGGAGAGAAAUUGUGGCCGAUCGAGGUGUGAAUCGGAGUCGAUCGAGGCGGCGAUUGAGGAAGAUGAUGGAGGAGACGAAAAUGGUGAGGGGCAAAAUGGUCAUUUUACACACCUCUCCUCCCUGUGAACAUUUUUCAUUUUACAAGGAGGCAAAAUGUAGGUUUUUAAAUAAUAAGGGGGGAAAGUGAAAAAUCGGGUUUUGAUAGGGGGUUUUAUGUAAUUUAGCCCUUUUUUUUUAUCCAUCAAAUCAAAACAAAUGCAGCCAAAAAAUUCAUCCGAAAAAAACUGAAAUUUAAGCAGGUCAACAAUGUUCAGGCAGCGUAAAAUAAUUUGCAAACUACUCUAGGUGAAAUUAAAUAAGUGAAAAAUUAUUUUUGUGUGUGUGUGUGUUGGGUUAGAAAAAAUUAUAGAGAAAGAGAGCGAAGAGACUAGAUUUUUAAUUGGAGAGAGAGAAGUGCAAAAGAGACACAUGCAUCCCCUUUGAACAUAGAGGCCAUGUUAGUCCAUGUGAUUGGAAGAGAGAGACCAUGUGAGGGAGAGAGAGAAAACUCAUGUAAAAGAAAGGCCACGUGGCUCGACGAAGGAACGCCGUUUGGUUUCUACUUCAGUAUAGAGUUUAAUAAUUCUCUUAAAUAGCAAAUUAUACUUUUCUAAAUUUAUAUUAUUUUGUUACAGGCUAAUUUAUUUGUUAAAAAAUUAUGAGUCUCAAGAAAAAACUGCUAGUGCUAAGCCUGUUAAAUAAUAAAUACAUGAAUUUGGAGAUCUUUUGGUAGAAAAAGAAGUGGUACAGCAUGCUUUACACCAAGUGGUGUAGGUGGCAUGGAAAUCUGUGAUCCAAAAUAUCCUUUUCAUUUCGUACUUAGCUAGUUUGAGUUUGGAUUUUUGAUAAUUUCAGUAAGUUUAGAUUUCUACUUGCUCGAUCCGUUUUCUAAUCCCUUAGUAAGAUGUACCCUGUUUCUCUGUACUCUAAAUUGUAGCUUUAGAUUAUCGUUGUGUUUCAUAUUAAUUUGACCUCCUUUUCUCAUUUAGGAACAUUCAGCAGUUUUGACUGAUUCACUUUUCAAACCGAAACUCUAAAAUACAUGAAAAAACUAGAGUCUGUAAAAUCAAAAGAAGCUAAAAUAAGUAAAUUUCACAAUAUUGCCAGAGUGAGCAGAUGUUAGGAACGAACUUCACAUCUAAAUACAUAUUUUUGCUGAUUUUUUAGCUUAAGUCUGAUAAGUAAACAGAGAGGCUGUGAAAAGUGCAUUGUAGUUUACUUGUUAUCAGCACCUUAAUUUGCUUCUUCUUGCUACUUCUAGUGAUUGUUUAGAGUUUGAAUGCUUCUUAGUAUUGAAAAUCCUGUACACUUCUACAAGGGCAUGGAUGUUGGAACUAGUUAUCUAGUAAUAACAGGCUUCUGUCAUUGCAAUCUGGGAGUUUACUUUUAGUUAACGCAAGAACCUGACAGUGCUAAUUCUUCAGGAUAAGGUGUUCAUUUGUUCACCUAUGAGUUAAUUUAUCUUAUUCCAAGAAAAUAACUUGGAAGUCGUAUUUAUCAUGCUGCUGUGGGCAUCCUAAUCAUACUUAUCUAACAAUUGCCAUGUGAUCCUUAACUAAACAAAAGAAAUGUGCCGAUAAGAUGUUCAGGCAUCUAAAUAGUCCCGAAGUGCUUUCAGUAUUUUGGCUCAGAAGUCAGGACUCGUGGUUGUUAUCCUCAUUUUUAGUAAUACAUAACUUUCAUCUGACGCUGUACAAAAGCUACAUUGUUUCUGACAGUUUCUUUCUAUAAAAAAAUAAUUUGGUCAAUCGGCGUACCAGCAGAUAGCAGCAUAGCUACUGCAGAUGCAUAUCGAGAUAUUAGAGAAAAAUGAGACUUUCAUGAUAGUUUUCUUUCAUAAAGUGGAGAAGAUAUUAAGCGGACAGGUGUUAAAGCCAUGUGUCUAGUUCAGUCAGUUGUUGAAACAUUGAAAUCAGUUACCUGUUACCUUCUCCACUUUGCCUAACUUUUGUAGACUUCCCUAUUCUCGUAGUUUGUUGGAUUCCUUUUGUCAGCUUUCUGUAGUUGAGAACUUCAUUCAUCAAAUGAGAGAGAAUUCUUUAAUAGGAUUUGUUGGUAUACAAGGUGUUACCACCUCCUGUGAAACUACUAUGUGGAAGUAAGGGAUCUAUGGCGAACCACAUGGAUAAGUAAGAUUAUCCUGCAUAUGAACAUGAGCAAUGAGAAUGCAAUCCCCAUUGAGAUUUCCACACUAUUAGGCUGAGAAGUUGUAAGGGAAUUAACAUCAAAAUAAAUUGUUGCUGACAUAGUCCUUGUAGAUUUUCGAAUAACCAAUUGUUAUAAGUGAUCCAUGAGGUCAAGUUAUAACUAAAACUAGUUCUUUGACGAAGUGGAAAAAAUAUGGCAUAAUUAGCUCAAUGAAAUUUUGUCUCAAGUGGUUGGAAACUUAUGGUCCAUGAGAUUGAUCUGCUGUAGAUUGGAAAAAAAAGAAAAAAAAGAAUGAUAUAACGAUUGUGAAGUUGUCACGCCUUGCGGUCCCUUUUUGAAAGCCAAUUCGAAAACGGACUAUCUUUAUAAAUCAGAGUAAGCAGAAAACUACCCUUUUUUUUGAAACCUGGACCCCAAAGACCUGCAACAGACCCACCACAAAUACAGAGAAUUUUCGAAACAAACGGACAGAGCCUACCUUGUAUUUGCACGAGGUAGCACAUAGUACAAUUUAUCAACUAAAUCUCCACUCACACACACAACAAUAGAAUGUACAAGGAUCAUCAUAUUACAUCAAACAACUGGCCAUCCAUAGCCACAUCCAUCCCACAUUCAUUCACAUUCAUCCUAUAAGUUGAAAUUGUCUCCCACAUGAAGGCUUUCUUUUUAAAACUCUUAACUUCACAAAAAAUCUAAAAAAAAAACCAUUUAAAAACGUUUCCCACACGGAAACCAUUAUUUUGAAAUAGUUACCAUGGGGGUAGAAAACUAUUGAUAGAAAUUCGAGUCCAAAACAACGUGAGCAUCCAAAACCCUCAAAGUACAAUAUCCAAAAUACGAAGGUAUAGAAUAUCAAUUGAACCACAUAUAAGCCUCUACUAAAAGGUGUAAUAGGGUAACACUAUACUAUCCACAAGUCUGUCUAUGCUAAGUAUGGAGUAUGACCAAAUCGUAUACCAUAUGUCAGGAAACCCUAUCUCGGCCCUAUAACUACGGCCUCACGCACCGUCCCGACCAAUCCUGCUCCCGUCACCUGUGGAAAAAAAUGAGGGUGAGAAACCAAGAAAGGGUCUCCCAAUGGGUAACCACGUAUAGGUAAAUAAAAGCCUACAGUAGCAAUAUAACUGUGAAGAGAGAUGAACUGUAAGUAAGCAUGCAACAACCACUACUGUAGUUAUAUGCCUCAACCGGACGGGAAGUCCAAAUAUCCUCAAUCUGUAUCGUGGUGUCGGUCUAAGGUCCUCAGGCAAGCCACAACCGCUCUGUUUGGCAUAUAACCCUAGCAAAUGGUCGCUGGGCUCACGAAUUGGCAAUCAACCACUUUUCCGAAAAAAGAACACCUAACUGUGGGGGAUCAGACUGCUGGUAUUCGUAAAAUGUUGUCGAGCUGUGGCGAUUGAAUAUGAUCAAUAGCCAAUUGUCGGUGAAUAGCCGGCAAUCAUCGCCCAUCAGGGCACACCAACCAAUAGGUCAUCGGAAAAAUACUAGUAUACGAGCACUGACCACUCAGGUCAACCGGAAUGGACAAGGUCAACAUCCUUACGAGUAUGCAAGUAUCGACCCCUCAGGUCAACAAGAAGUACGAGGUCAACAAUGACAAGAGUACAAGGGAAUCGACCACUUUGGUCAUCUAGGAUGUAUCCACGAGAACCGACUACUCAGGUCAACAACAACGCGUCCAAGAGAACGGAUCACUCAAGUCAACAAUGGGGUGUGCAAAGAACCAACCACUGAGGUCAACAAUGGCGCGUUUACAGGAACCGACCACUCAGGUAAAAAAUGAUGUAUAUGAUCAUGUAUAGGCAAUCUCCACCGCUUUACUUCUAGGUCAUGGCAAACAAGAGGAGUAUGCUAAGUAGUGCUAAAGUCAAAGUCAUGUGGUGUAAAGCUCAAGUAUAAGAUAUAUGCAGGAAGUAAAAGGAAAUGGCGGAGGGAACAUCACCGAGCGUGCGCCACUGAACCGACUUUGAAUCGAAGUACCCACUGGUGUCGCAGCUGUACUUAGCUCUCGUGGUGUGCAAAACCAUCGAUCGGACCUACCACCGAGUCAGAAACCAAACCUACUGACUCAAAAGACAUCGCUCACAAAUCCAAAACCACCCGUGGAAUCGGUUUCCCAAAACCAAUUCUUGAACUCAUCGGAAAUCCCAAAAAUGCACUGGGAUGCCCGUAGGACCCACGAAACGUCCUGAAACACACCGACUCAUGUCGUGAGUCACUCGCUACCCUAAAACACAUCCAUUUGAGUGUUCGAGCAGCAAAAACAAGCACCAAGGUCCACACGGUUGUCGCCGGUCGACCGUUUCGCUCCAGGCUUCCGGAACACCGAAAGUCUCCGCUGCUCGCCUGUCGCCUCCAAACACACAAGGUGACCCCAAUAGCUAAUCAAUAGGGCUAGGCGAUGAUUUUCGGGGCGACCACGCAGCCGGAAACUCGUUACUACGCGAAAUCGCAUUCUACCAUUGAUUUCGCCGAAAAACUCACCGAAAUCCCUCCGCCGCUCAUCCACCGCCUCUGAACUUCGAAGGUGGCAGUAGCAAUCAGCCAACAAGGCUUGGUGGGGUCUCCAGGGCAUUCGAAUGGCCAACGUGCGAAAACUGCAGCAUAAACCGCGUUCGAUUGGCGAAUUUCCACCAAACGAUGCCGUGGGACCCCGUUUCCACUCCGCGACGACUCUCGGACCUUCAACGAUCAGUCGAGAGGUUGCUAACUGUGACGCCCCGACUUCCCAGGGGGUCACCUAUUCUAGGAUUACUCCUAUCCUAGCACGCUUAACUCUCUUAACCUCUUGGGCCUAGCCACCGCCCAAAAUGGUUAAGCCGGGUUAAGAGUUUUAGUUCUAUUAAUAUCUUACAUAUAGGACUACCUGGGUCUCGCAUUCGUCCCCCCUUAACCCCUAAGGUCCUCGUCAGGCUCAGACUCACAAAUACAAGGCUAUGUGAGACUCGUCUUGCUAGCCUAAGCCGACCUUGUAGUGAGCUGCGCUCCACCCACAACAGUCAACCGCAUGAGAGCUUCGCUCUUCCUGCUGUAUAAUCCUGACUCAGCCGAGACUAAUCUCACACUUCCGGCUGGUAAUUGGCUUAAUAUCAACUGUGACGCCCCGACUUCCCAGGGGGUCACCCAUCUUAGGACUACUCCCGUCCUAGCAUGCUUAACUUUCUUAACUUCUUGGGCCUAGCCACCGUCCAAAAUGCUUAACUUGGGUUAAGAGUUUUAGUCCUAUUAUAUCUUAUAUAUAGGACCACUUGGGGUCUCACACUAACAGCGAUUACACGUUGUCGGAGGCUAUGCGCGAGGUCCCCAUUGCAUAAAACUUGCAAUCAGCCCAACAUAGCAUUAAUUACUAAUCAAUUAAUACAUAAACACGAGUUUCGAGCUCGUUACCCUGAUCCGCGUCGCAACGGAUCCAUCUAACUAGUCGAUUUGAUUCGUCUCCACGCGAUGAAGCUCGUGCUCACUGUCCGGAGCGCAAUUGACGAUCGGAGGGCCUCGAAACAGCGGAAACAAGCCUACGAAAGCAUGCUGCCGGAAGCGGCCAAGUCUCACGCGCGUAUCGAAGCUUCUCUAAUUGCAGCGAAGGUGAGCACGGGUCUCCACAAGGCCUCGGGAGUGCGGUGCUCACGUCUCGAGCGCUUGCCGAAGUCUCCGGUGGCCGGAAAAAGAAGCUCGUCCAACCCAAGUUCUAGAAAUCCACCUUGGCAGCAUCACUCGGGCUAGGGCUUCUUGUUGCCGAUGGUCGGUGGCAUGGCAAGGUAGGCCCUGGUCAGGGGAGGGUCAUCGCACCCAGGGGAGAUGGCCGGCGGCCCUGGUCAGCGGCAGGAGGUGGCGGUGGCACAGCGGCGGCGAUGGAGGCCAACAAAGGGCCACGGCUAGGGCAUCGCGGAUCUCCGCAGCGGCGUAUCGGGAUGGCGAGGGGCGGCACCAGCGGACCUGUCACGCCCCGGGACCGCUACCAAUUUGGUACGAUCCGGGCGCGUCGAACAGACGCCGAACGGACAGCACCUCCCCUGUCCGCCCAAGGCUAAACAACAGGAUCAUGUACAACAAGUUCCCAGGAAAUCAACUUGAAUACAUACAUGAUCAAAACAAUAGCGAGGGCACAACCAGUGCCGAACAUUACAAGAGCAAGCAUCACAAGUAUAAACAAGUGAAUAAAAGAGAGAUAUAACUAUCUAUUACAUCACAUUUGACAUUCAACAUUUAAUACAACUUGGUUACAUUUAAGCUUCCAAAAUGAAUACAUAAUCAUAUCACAUAUACAUAAUGCUAGCUAUCCAAAAUACAUCAUGUCAUCUAUAACCAUGCACACGAGGGUGCUCUAGUACAAUAGGAAAGCUCUACUAGCUAGCUAGGGAAGCUCGCUUUAUAAAAAUAAUAGGAAUUAAUACACGACAGUGGAUUAAGUCAUGCUUUAUAUUGUUCCCACUGAUUUAUGUUCAAUGCAUUGUUAUUUUUCUUUUAUUGCUCGAUUGUAUGUUACAAUUUCUUCAAGGACAAUGCGAAGCGUAAAAAAAAAACUUAAACUAUUUUUAAAUUUCUACUGGUUUGUAUGUCAACACAUAAUAAGCACUGCAGACGCGCUAGCAAUAAACUUACUACUCACUCCUAUAUUUUCUUACAGGGGGACUGAUCGUCUGAAAGCAUACUACUUCCGACCGCAUUACACACUCGACAGCAGCUUAGAAGGAUCGAAGCUCUUCAGGAAUGCUCUUUCCGGCUAGACUCCGAAAAGCAAACUCGUCCUUAUAAAGACAUUACUGAUAUAACUUACUAUCAAAACAGCCAAACUGUUGGUAGCCCAAACUACUCUUAUACAUAAUGCACUAGCUAAUUCAUCCAAAAGCUACUUGUAUUGUUUCUUUAAUUUUACUGACAAAGUUGAAUUGCAUGGAAAAAUAAUUUCCCUCUCACUCAACUAAGUAUUUGUAGUUGGACAUACAUGGCUCCCCAAUAGUUUACAUAUGCCAUAAAUUUAAUAGUAAACUCUCGAAUGUAUAACAAGGUAACUUGAAUGAAUUGUGCGACUUAUGGAGUGCCUACCUGUCGAUUGUAUCUGAUCGCCAGCGACGCGGCUUCGUGUCUCAUUGGAGGAGUCUAACAGGAACCGAGGCACCCGACGGAUUCUAGUACAGUAUGCACGCCGCGCUAGAGUGAUGGACAGUCGGAGCUCGUCACUAACUUCAGACAGAGGAUAUGCUCUGAGCUCGUAUAAACUUCAGGGAAGGAUGGUCGCAGCACCUACCUAUGGCGGGAGUUUGCUUAUAACAACAAUGUAUCAGCACACAAAUGGCGCCCUCGAAUGCACUUUAUGGACGAAGUGUAGAUCGCCACUAUCAUUGAAAGCACGAAGUUGGCGAGAGUGCUUUAGCCCGAUUGUGCCUCCAGGGUAAGUGAGACAAGUUCGAAUUGCCGGAGCCGACUUUUGACGCGCGAGUAGACAGAGGACUGACGCCUGGAUCGACGACGGGCGAGACUUGGAGUUCAAGUUGGAGACCAUGUUUUUCUUGAAGGGUCUCGCCAACUAGAGGAAUCGAGAGAUUCGGAUCCGGUGGUAAAGUUGAUUCCCCGUUUCACAUUGGAACCGCAUGAGAUCCUUGCAGCGUGUUAGGUCGUGUAUGCGUAUCGGACUUGCUCUAACCACCCGACCUAAUCGGGCGUGCAUCACUUUUCACGUAUCCGGUACUGCGAGGUACAUUAUGAUUCCAGCUCAUGGUUUUGGAAGUCUGUUACAGUGCAAUGGCGAGGAUUGAGCUUCGAGGAGCACACCAGUGAAAGAUUUUGGAAUUCGCGAAGUGAAGAAACUGCGGAGUCGGGAUAUCGUAAUGUGAAGGUUCUUGUGGCAGCAACCACGCGGAGGCGAGGCCACGCUGGAGGCUAGAGACCGCUGCCAGAGCGCUAAUCCCCCCAUCUUUUCAGAUGGAUGGCCUUGAGGUAAUGCUCUUGCUUUCGAGUUUCGGCGGACGAAACUCUUUUAGCGAGGUGAAAUGUAGCACACUGGACCGCUUUGCAAAUUGGCGAGGCUUCGAGUGUUCGAUUUUGUAUUUCCGACUUUUCCACACUUUGUGGAGGCCGUCGAUGGUAUACCGGCCUAAAAAUUCGAUCUCGAGAGUUUUGGCAUGAGUCGCUGAGGAGUUUUUACUCUCAGGGAAACCGGUCGAGCAGAGACCGGCCCCCCCGCAGUGAACAUGCUGGCGCAGCAGCCGAGGGCAACCGUCCUAGCAGUUGAGCAUCCGGGUCCCCGGCGCGUCUGCCGGCGCGGAGAGACCGUCGCAGGGAGAGAUGCCGGGUCCCGAACGUGGACUAUUCGGGGGGCAGCUGAGAGACGGUCCAGGUGGGAGAUCGGUCCUUGGGCGAAAAACUGCCCAGUCCGGCGCUGAUUGUAAUGUGAGUUUUAGGGGCCUAAUGUGGAUUUUGUUACUUAGAGGCUAUAAGCAGGCCUCUCCUCUCCCUCUCACUCUCAUUUUUCUCUUCCUCACAUCUUUCUACACUUCUAGAGAGAGAAAGGGAGGAGAAGAAGGAGAAGGAGAGGAGAAGAAGCUUGCUUAGAGGCCGUUGGAGGCAUCAUCUUCGCCUCAUUUUCCACCUUUGGUGGCUUGAACUUGCGGUUGGAGCGUUGUGAAGGAUCACAACCUCAACCCUACUUGGUUUUUGAGCUUGGAUUGGGGCUUCUCUGAGUUGGUAGCUUGUAAUCAUUUACUACUUGUUCCUAGGUUUUUUCUAGAAUGAAACUAGAUUUUGGAUUUAGGGUUUAUUUUGGGGGUUUUUGGAUUUGAGGGUUUAUGCAGACCUAAUGAUCGGUUUGAACCCUUUAUAUAGGUUACGAUUGAAGACUUCCUACCUUCCAUUUGAGGAUUAGAGAGGGUUUUCUACUGAGGUGAGUUUUCUCGCAACCCUAGCUUGAGGCACUUAAUGAUUGAGCUAUUUGCUCUUCGUUUCGUUUGGGUGACCCUUUUGAAUGUUUCUAGGGUUACUAGGGAGCGUGUGGGAUAUCUUCGUUCGGCGAACGAAGAAGUUUGGAUUCUUUUGGUGGUUGACUUGCAUAAAUUGGCAAAAAUGGCCCCCAUGCCUUCUAAUAAACUUUUCGUAAAGUAUUUUUGAAUGCAAUUCAUGCUAAACAUGAUUUAUAUGAAUAUUUAGAACACUUAACAUGCAUGCCUCAUUAUCGUAAAAAUUGUACUCCAUAAGUAGAGCUAGUAAUGUUAAGAUUGCAUGCAAUUGUGGAAGUGCUAUGGUUUUGGCAGUUGAGAACAUGACUCCAUGCUAGAUUGAUGGAACUAAUGCAGUCAUGAACAUGUUAAUCCAUGCUUGGACUCGUGAACAAAAGUGAUCAAAAAGAGGCAACUUGGAAUAGUAAUAUCUAUAAAAUGCAAUUAGAGACAUGAUUAUAGGCCAUUGUACAUCUCUGAUAUUCCAUGUUAGAGACAUGAAUGACAUACGAGAUAGGCUUUGAGACAUGCUUACAUUCCAUGUUAUUUAGACUGAGGAUUGGUACAUGCGACCAGAUCGUUUGACUACUUUGCCAUUGUGCUCAUUCGCACAUGCUUGUGAGGGUUCGCUCCUACAAGCCGGCACCGGAGAUGGCCAUCGCUGAUACAUAUUCGCCCGUGCGGGAUUGGCGCCGAAAUGGAUUGCCCGUGGGCAAAGGCUCAUUCUAGGGUGGGGAUGUUCGACUACCCCGGGCCAUUAGCCGGCACCAUUGGCCAGACAGCCUUUCGGUGGUCUCCAGCCAUAAGACGCCUUCGGUGGGUCUCUUCAGAUUUGACUUGAGUAUUCCUAUAUGACAUUGACAGAUGAGACUUAGAGUUUCAUUUGGACAUUUGACCUAGAAAUAGUAAACAACUGAACUUUCACUAUUUCGGAUUGGUGAACAUUUGAUAGUUGGAACUUUUAUUUCUCCAUAGUUGUUUCAUACUUAUGUAAUUACGCUAAGGUAGAGAUAAUCAUGUUGUUAGUAAGGUUCAUUAUUUUGCUUACCUUUCCACUUUUCUACUGUUAUCUGUNNNNNNNNNNNNNNNNNNNNNNNNNCGCUAUGCCCUUACCGCGAUACACUGCCGGUCCGCUCACAUGUGUACCUGUACCCCAACCACACGGGGUAGAAACUAUAUAAAUAUAGUUCCAGUGGGUUCGGCCGCCGACUCCGCCGAUCUUCCACUAGGCUAAGCUUGCACAGAUAGAUAGAUAGAAAGAUAGAUAGAUAUUGAACUGCAACUAUGAUCUAUUUGUGCCAUCAAAUGCAAGCAAUGCAUGAAAUAUCAACUAGCAAUAAGCCUACUAUCAUGAGUAAUAUGCUUCAACGAUGUAAUGAAUACAAAUACGACAUAGUUAUUGCAAUCCAUAACAUACUACUAUAUCUAAUCAGGGUAUGAAUGCAAAUCCACUUAUGCUAUUCAUGUCAAUUACCCAAUCCACUAGGCUACCCGCCCUUGUCUCAAAUCACGUAGGUGAAGGACUACCCCGCCUUGUUCACCCGUCCACAACUCUAACACUAUAGGUAAAGAGCUACCCGCGCUCCUCGCCCAACUCAUGACUCAAAUGCUAAGGGCAUGAGGCUACCCCGCUCAUAGGUAAAAGCUACCCCGCUCAAAGGUCAAGAGCUACCCCGCUCGUAGGUAAAGAGCUACCCCGCUCAAAAGGUCAAGAGCUACCCCGCUCAAAGGUAAAGAGCUACCCCGCUCAUAGGUAAAGAGCUACCCCGCUCAAAGGUCAAGAGCUACCCCGCUCGUAGGUAAAGAGCUACCCGCUCAUAGUAAAGAGCUACCCCGCUCAAAGGUCACAGGAGAAGAGCUACCCCGCCCUUCGCCCGACUCACUUCCCAGUCCAAAUGGUGGAGCUACCCGCUCGUAUCCCACCCAAUGAGACCCCGCUCGUGUGACAACUGGGAAUACCCUGUCAACUAGGUUAACCAUUCACUUGAUAUUCCACCUAUCCCUAGGUCCAUGCCAAGUGUUUCAACCAUAUCAAAUCUCAAUGCCACUCACCUAGGUCUAAGCAACUCUAGGUUCCACAAACAUAGGUUUAAUGUCAACCUAUGUUUAACAACAUUAUAUUAAUGCCACCGAUCUAUCCUAGGUUCACGACACUAGUUUAGAUGCCACAUAAUCUCCAUAAUUAACAAUAGGUUAACAUUCAUUUCAUCUAGCAUAUAUGUAUCUUAUAAGGCCAACAUGCAUCAUAAUGCUAAUAUGCCAUAAUCAACUAGCAUGCAAUCCAUUCAUAAUGCUAACAUGCAUACAAUCUCCAUUACACUAGUUCACAUGUCACUAGUUUCAUUGUCAAGGUCCAAGUUCUAUAUUUUCUUAUCAUCAUAGGAUCUCAUGUCUCAACCUUAAUCAUCAUGCAUUCUAGAUUUAAGUGUCAAGUCUAUAAUAACUACACAACUAGACAUGCAUUCAAAGGAAGGUAGAAAUGUAACUAUACAUAUAUCCUAUAAUGCAUAAGAACAUAUAUAUGAGAUAUGAUCAACUAUUUUACCGUCGACAUAGAAGGAAGCCCGAUUGCUCGGAUAGACACCCCACCUCUUUAUCGCAUACCGAUUGCUCGUCGUCAUCGCAAUCGGCCUGCCGCGGCACACGCCGCUCGGCUUGACCCAAUCGCGUGCGGACCGCCAGACGACCUCCGAUCCGCGAUCCGAAAAUUAAAGGUCUUCUUUUCUAUUACGAUGCUUACAAAUCCGUUUCCAGGACUUUUACGACGUCGCCUCGGCCCUCUAGGCGGAAACGAAGCCUAAACGCCCGUUUCUUUAAUAACCUUGUACCGGCUCAACGAAUCGCCGAACUGUCGCUUCCAACGCGUUCAGGACCUAGUCAAUUAGGGUUUACGGAGGGUCAAAUUAGAUCAUACCCUCAUAUUUCAAAAUAUAGCAUUUUGAGCCCUAACAUGCCAAUUACCCCAAAUAAUCCAAAUUAAAUGGGAGCAAUAUGCUAAUAAUGAUCAUUAGAGGCUUACUAGAACCCUUUAAAGCUAAGAUUAAGCCAAAUCCCAAAAGCUUACCCCAAUAUGAACGCCGCAACGAAAACACGUCGCCUCCAACGGGCCACGAAAGCUCAAUACCGUCGCCUCCAACGCGUUCGCAAGCUCGAUCUCCACCAACGCCGCGAAUUUGGGCGAGAAAUAUAGGAGGAGAUGAGAAGAUAUUUAGAGAGAGAAAAAGGAGAGAGUUCUCUCACUACACAUGAACGUAUGGUAGUGUAAUGGUGGUGCGCUGAUGGAGAGGAGAAGCCUAGUAGCUUCUACUUAUAGUCAACCUCAAUAGUAGCAUUACACUAUUCACAUCAGGCAGCUCCAAACUCUGAUUACUUUCGCCCGGAACUCCCUGAAUAUCCGUUUUGAGCUCAAAUCUGACAGUCAAUAUUCGGUUUUACUUAAAGAGUCCAAAAGAAAUUUAAUCUUUCAGUUCGACCGCCGUUUGGUCACCGAAAACUGUGCCGAACUGCAAUCUUUAUCAGAUGGCUGUUCGGUUUUAUUUCUCACACUACGGGUGUCAGAAUGGCGAUGAAAACUUAUUAUAUCUAGCCUCAUAAAAAUAUUUCUGACAUCUCUGGCAAUUUUCAUAAUUUUCUGAGACUUGCAUUUUCUGCUAAUUUAUCUGCCCGUUUCCAACAGAAAAUUCUAAAUCUUCUGUUUUAAUUCCGAUUUCAGCACAGGUCAUUCCCAAUUUAUAUUUCACUCUCAUAAAUCAAUAAAAAUAGUAUCUCAUACUAUUUUUAUAUUAUUUCCAAUUUUUUUUUAUAUUAAAUCCGGUAUUACAUACACCGCAACCUUACCGGAACCAUUCAAAUGGCCUCCAACCAAAUGGACACCGUAGCUUCAUGAAUUUUAGAAGUCCGGUACCUUACAUCCUCCCUCCUUAAAAGGAGUUUCGUCCUCGAAACCGAAUAACACUCACUUCAAAACCGAAUCACACCUCAACUCGACGUAUCGACGACAUAGGGUUCCAAUGCACUUUUUAUACUCCGGGAUGGCCUUCACUCAUUGAAUCAUCAAGAGGCCCACCACAGAGGAUGUGAGACUAGAUUCACUCACUUUUGCUAAGCGUAUCCGAAAGUGCAUUACGAGUCUCCGUCAUUCUUGGUGGUUAGCCAAGUCGAAGCUCAACAACUCUACGCGCUCUCGAACACCAUUCACCAUUUUGAAUGCAGAAACUCUUCUUUGCAUUCACUUUCCCCCUCGGGCAUUCCGAUUCGAUACCAACAUUGCUCAAAAGCAAUUAUCAUUUGGUGCAUCCACGAAGGUCGCGAUAGGUGAUUCAACCACAUAUCGGACUUCGCGGUCUACCGCGAUUCUCUCCCACUGACAUCUUUUGUAGCUUUGGGCCUUGUGGUGCAUUCACUGAAGUCAGUAAUUGCCCACUGGGAACUAUUUUAAUAGUUCUCACGCCCCUGUUUUAUGGUUUCCUUUUCAGAGCUUUCGGCACCGGCGGAGGCAUGGGAUCGCGGCAAGGGAAUCGCGUAGCUAGCUAGCGAGGAGCGGUACUUGCCUAGGUGGUUUACUCUUUCUUUUGUAGUUGAGAGAGUGAGAGUUUUUGUAUCCAUGUAUAGAGACCACCUAUGUACCUACCUAUAGCACUUGUAUCUGGGAUUUUCUUGUAUCACUUUAUGUUUUAUUUAGUGGACUUACAGUUUCAUCCUUAUCCCUUGUUGUAGCAUCUAGACUUUUAUUAUGCUUUGAUACUCCUAGAUGUCUUGUAUUAUUGCUUUUAUUAUUGUUGUUUUUAGACGCCUUAUAUGUUUUAGACGUAUGGCGGGUUUGGGCACGCGCCGGGCGGGCUUCCGCUGGGUCCCGGGGCGUGACACACAGGCACUUAGGCGGCACAAGCUGGACUACCUUGGGUAGGUCCCUAAUUGGAAAUGAAAACCGACAUAGAGUUGAGUGUGUGACAAUCACUACUAGAUAGAGAGUAGUAGUUGGAUUACCUGGGUUUGCUUCUAGCAUAGUGUUGGACACAUGAGUAUGCAUAUAUACAUGUAGUAUGCUUGGAGAUGUUGCCAUUACAUUCAUAUAUAUAAUGUCGCCAUGUUAAAGUAUAACCAUCAUAGCUACAUAGGGUAAAUCUUGAAAGUACUCGCGAAUAUGUAGAGACAUGCUAGUCAUGACAAGGUAAAAGUGCAUCAUAUAAAUGCCAGAUCCAAUUGCAAAGUUGUAAUUUAGCAAUUUUAUUUAUGCUUUCACAUUUGCAAUUUAUUUCUUGUUAUAACUAUCUUGGACUUACCCCUUUCUCUUUUGAGGCCUAGUGGUGCAUUGAGCUGAGGUCAGUAAUUGCCCACUGGGAACUAUAAAUUAUAGUUCUCACGCCCUCUGUUUUAUGUUUUCUUUCAGAGCCUUCCACGCCGGGAGAGGCUAGGGAUCGCGGGAAGGGAGUUUCUUCGAGCUAGCUUCCUUCGAGGACGAUUUGAUAGGUGGUCUACCUCUCGUGGUUUUAUUUUGGGAGAGGUUGUGAGUUGUACCUGUAUAUGUAUAGAGACCACCCUUCUUUUGGAUCUUUGUAUUCCUUUUGAGGAGAUAGUACUGUACUACUUUAUGGCUACUUUUAUUGUCUAGCUUUAUUUCUUUAC